AAAAAACAAAGUUGAGCGGCAAAGGUCGAAAUAUCUACGGUUCAGGAGGCUUCGGUACAUUUUUAACGUAUGCAGAAGUGCAAUGAUUUGACUGUAUCUGUACACGAGGCAGAUCGGACGGUCAGCGUUGUCGGCGCUGAAAAGUGUGAGGCGAUACAUGGAAAGGUAGGUGGGGUGGCGUGGAAUGGACGGCUCAAGAUGGAUUGAUGAAGAGCUCAGCGGGAUUUGAGGGGUCGGUGGGGGCCCCGGUUUUUGUCGUGUAGUGUGUAUGAGCCUAUGAGGUGGCUUGGACUCGUUUAUAUAUAUAUAUAUAUAUAUAUAUAUAUAUAUAUAUAUAGAGAGAGAGAGAGAGAGAGAGUAGGGCUAGAAUACUUGUAAAAGUAUCAUGGGGGUGAUACUUGUGUAUUUUUAGUCUUUGGAUGGAGAGAUGUGAGGUUGAGAUGAUGGUGGUAGGUGGUGAUAGGUGGUGGUAGGUGGAAUAGUGUUUAAUUCAAGGGCCAUUAAUAAUCAAAAAGUAGAUCCAAUGGCUUAAAACCUAAUAGCACCAUGAUGGUGAUACUUGUAAAAGUAUAUAUAGAGUUGAGCUACUCAACUCUAUAUAUACUUUUACAAGUAUCAUAGCUCAACUCUAUAUAUACUUUUACAAGUAUCACCAUCAUGGUGCUAUUAGGUUUUAAGCCAUUGGAUCUACUUUUUGAUUAUUAAUGGCCCUUGAAUUAAACACUAUUCCACCUACCACCACCUAUCACCACCUACCACCAUCAUCUCAACCUCACAUCUCUCCAUCCAAAGACUAAAAAUACACAAGUAUCACCCCCAUGAUACUUUUACAAGUAUUCUAGCCCUACUCUCUCUCUCUCUCUCUCUCUAUAUAUAUAUAUAUAUAUAUAUAUAUAUAUAUAUAUAUAAACGAGUCCAAGCCACCUCAUAGGCUCAUACACACUACACGACAAAAACCGGGGCCCCCACCGACCCCUCAAAUCCCGCUGAGCUCUUCAUCAAUCCAUCUUGAGCCGUCCAUUCCACGCCACCCCACCUACCUUUCCAUGUAUCGCCUCACACUUUUCAGCGCCGACAACGCUGACCGUCCGAUCUGCCUCGUGUACAGAUACAGUCAAAUCAUUGCACUUCUGCAUACGUUAAAAAUGUACCGAAGCCUCCUGAACCGUAGAUAUUUCGACCUUUGCCGCUCAACUUUGUUUUUUUUGACUUAAUAGGAGUUUUAAUUGGUAAAAAUGUACACAAUAGGAACAUUUUAAAUCGGAUUAUCUAAUUUAUUUUAAAAAUUAAAAUUUACUUUUUUUUAAAUUCAUUUGAUUUGAAUCCAUCAAUAAUAUUUAAAUUUUAAAAUUUGAAUAAUUUUUUUAUAAAUAUAGUUAAUAUAUUUUAUAUAAUUUUUAUAAGUUUAGCUUAAAUUUUAAAGUCAAAAUACCGUUGAUUAACUCAAAUUAAAUAAAUUUAAAUAUAAAUAGUGAAAUUAAAAUUUUAAAAGAUUGAAUAGCUAAUUCAAAAUUAUAUUAUUUUCACCUAAUUUUAUCUUUUUCACUUGAAUAAUUUUAUCCAAUCAAAUUAAUAAUCUGGCCAAACUUAUCGGUAACUUUGUUAAUUUUGAAACGUUCAAUUAAUUUUGUCCGCAAAUAAAUAAUUAAUUUCUAAUAAAAUAAAUUUGAAAUCUUAUUAAAUUCGUCAGAAAUUUUGCCAAAUUCAGAAUUUUAAUCACUUUUUAAUAAAAUAAAAUUAGCAUGAUUAAUAUCUAAUAACUAACGAAAUUAUUAAAUUUGCAGAAAUUUUUGGUAUAAAGUUGAGGGGCGACUAAAUAUUAUAUCAUAAUCGAGGGGUCUCAGUGCAUAUUUACCUAUCUCUCUCAGCGGCCCCACACCGUCUUACGUCAGCACCUUCACAGUUGGUUCAGUGUGCCUCUGGUCCCACUGGCCCCACACACAGCCACGUGGGCCCCACCUCAAAACCACCCCCCAUCAGAGCCGUCCAUUUCAUCGGCGCAUCUCCCGAUAUAUUCCUCUCGUAUAAAACAUUUAAUUAAAUAAAAAAAUAAUCAUUUUAUAUUUCCCGUCGCACCUAAUCAUUAAAAACUCAUGAUUCCGUUACUAAUGAAAAAAAAAAGAAGAGACGUAUAUACGCGAUGGCACGCGACGAAAUUUUGGGGAAAACGGAGGGCUUUUAGUCAAGCUCACCCACCCCUUAUCCGCGACCAGAUGAAAAGGACACGUGGGGCGCGGGAUGACACCCGCGAGGGGAGGAUCCAACGGUUUAGAUUCGUCGAACCGAACCGCUCGAUAAAAUCGGGCCGUUGAGAGCUUGAACCUGAGUUAACGCAACUAACCCUGGUUUAAAAUAUGAAGCGUUGAAGAGAGAGAAAUAGAGAAUUAGGGCGAAGCGGAAAAGGAGACGGGGAGAGAAGAGAGAGGUGAUCUUCAUCUUCUUCUUCGUCUUCUCUCUCUUGGCCUUAGAUCCUUUCCAUAAUUUAUAAUCUCUAAUCUAUUUAGUAACUUUGCUUUAUUUUUGGAAUCUGAUUUGAAUCUGGGGUGAUUUUUGUGUAUUUUCGCUGAUUUUUUGGGGAAAUUUUCGAUGUGAUUUUGGGGAUUUCGCCCCAAAUUUUGGCUACUGCUAUGUUAGGAUGUGAUCUGAGGUAAAAAAAAAAAAAAAAAUUGUGUUUUGUCUUGUACUAAUGUUUUUGGAAGAUGAUCCCCCAUGGAUUUACCCGUAAAAUCGGGAAUUUUAUGUUGUUUUUGGAGUUUAAAUGGUGGGUAGAGAGCAGAUCCGGUUUACCUGGUAUGAAUCUGAAGUAGGAGAGUGAUAUUAGGUGAAAUAUCGGAGCUUUAUACUUCUCUUUGCUAUUUUUAGUAGUUUCUGGGAGAAUUUGGCUUCAGAUCUGAGAUACUUGUCCUCGUCCUCAUCCUCCUCCUCAUCUUCUUCUUCUAGUUGCGGCUUCAAACCCUAACCCUAACGCUAACCCUAAUUCUAGAGGUGAGAGAUGAGGUACUUCCCGGAGGAGGUGGUGGAGCACAUCUUCGGCUUCCUCACCUCGCACCGCGACCGGAACGCCGUGUCGCUGGUGUGCAAGGCCUGGUACCGCGUGGAGAGGCUGAGCCGCCGCAGCGUGUUCGUCGGGAACUGCUACGCGGUGCGCCCGGAGCGCGUGGCGGCGCGGUUCCCGCGCCUCACGUCGCUCAGGGUGAAGGGGAAGCCGCACUUCGCCGACUUCAACCUCGUCCCGCCCGACUGGGGCGGCAAUGCCGCCCCGUGGAUCGAGGAAGCUGCCCGCAGCUGCCCGGCCCUCCUCGAGCUCCGGCUCAAGCGGAUGGUCGUCACCGACGAGAGCCUCGAGCUCCUCGCCCGAUCCUUCCCCAAUUUCCAAUCCCUGGUUCUCAUCAGCUGUGAGGGCUUCAGCACCAACGGCCUCGCCGCAAUUGCCACCCAUUGCAGGUGACCCAGCUUUCUGCUGACUCAACAUUAAAUUUUGAGCUCAAAAUUUGAUUUUUCUUACCCUUUCCUUUGUAAAUUUGUGGUGAAUUUGUGUUAAUUUCUCGAAGCAGAGUGUAUUUUAUAUAUCCUCCACUUGUGCAAUCCUUAACCCACACAUGGAAUUCAUAAAUUAAGAAGAUCUCGAAACGCGGCAUGUAGUACACUUCACAUGUUCUUGAUUUGUAGAGACAAUCAUUUUGGCACCUCUUAGAUUGUACUAAUUUCAUUCGCAAUCUACAGAGACAAUGUUGGGCCGGAGUUUAAAAAUCUUGAGUGUCGCUUGUUUGUUUGUUUGUUUGUUUUUCCUUUCUCUCGAGUAGGCUAAUUAGUUGAUUUUACUUCAUAUUCUCUGGAUCCUGUCACCGAUUAACUCGUUGUACAUACGAAUCAAACUACGGACUUUCUGUUUGAAUGAAUCUCACUCAUUUUUCUUUUUUCUUUUUUUUGGUUCCUUGUUCUGGUUGUUAGGUAUCUUAGGGAGCUGGACUUACAGGAAAAUGAGGUGGAGGAUCGUGGGCCCCAGUGGCUCAGCUGCUUCCCUGAUUCCUGUACUUCUCUAAUCUCCCUAAACUUUGCCUGCCUGAAAGGCGAGGUCAACCCUGCCACAUUGGAAAGGCUCGUCGCAAGAUGCCCUAAUCUCCAAACCAUAAGGCUCAACCGUUCAGUAACCGUCGAAUCUUUGGCCAAGAUUGUUGAGCGGGCCCCGCAACUGAGGGAUUUGGGGACCGGUUCUUUCGCAGUCGACCUUCGAUCUGAAGCAUGCCACAAACUGAUGAAUGCCCUCCGAAAAUGCAAAUCAAUAAGGAGCUUAUCAGGGUUCUGGGAUGCUCGUUCGCAAUGCCGUACUGUUAUUUAUCCCAUUUGUGCGAAUCUUACUGGUUUAAAUUUAAGCUAUGGUCCACUUAUCCAGUGCUCUGAGCUCACCUUUCUGAUUCGGCAUUGCUGGAAGCUUCGGCGCCUUUGGGUGAGAUUAGAUUUUCUUUAACUCUCGUUUUCUUUCGGUAUAAAACAUACAGGCAUUUUAAAAAUGAUAGUGCAGUUUAUAAUGAAUAUCUGAAUCGCAAAGGAUAACUUUUGGUACUCAAAAUGUAAAAGGUACUAGUAUCAAUAUUUUUGAAGCUUCAGGUGCCCAUUAUAAGAUGUGCUAUAGAACUGGCCAGGUCUCUGUGAUCUUACCGCCUUUAAUAUUGGCUUUUCUAUGGUUUCCUUGCAAAUAUUUGAAUUCUAUUGUAGAUUUUGGACAGUAUCGGGGACAGAGGCUUGGCGGUCGUGGCUGAAAGCUGUAAGGAUCUGCAGGAGCUGAGGGUGUUUCCUGUGGACAUUUACGGUGCGGGAAGCCCUUUCGUGACAGAAGAAGGGCUUGUUGCCGUAUCUUCAGGUUGCCCCAAAUUGCACUCCUUACUGUAUUUCUGCCAUCAAAUGACGAAUGCCGCUUUAAUAACCAUCGCGAAGAACUGCCCUAACUUCACGCGGUUCAGAUUAUGCAUUCUCGACCCAAAAAAGCCUGACCCAAUCACUGGCCAACCAUUGGACGAAGGCUUUGGGGCAAUUGUGCAGUCUUGUAAAAACCUAAGGCGGCUCUCGAUGUCGGGCCUUCUCACCGACCAAGUAUUCUUGUACAUCGGAAUGUACGCAGAGCGUCUUGAAAUGCUCUCUAUUGCAUUUGCGGGGGACAGCGAUAAGGGAAUGGUGUACGUCCUAAACGGAUGCAAGAAUUUGAGGAAGCUGGAGAUUAGGGAUUGCCCGUUCGGGGAUGGGGCGCUGUUGCAGGACGUGAAAAAGUACGAGACAAUGCGAUCCCUUUGGAUGUCUUCCUGUGAUGUAACUCUCGGGGGUUGCAAGUCCUUAGCUCAAAAAAUGCCAGGGCUGAACGUAGAGGUUAUGCAUGAGGACGAAGGUAGUGGGAAGACGCAGGAAAACACUAGCGAUCGCGAUAAGGUGGAGAAGAUGUACGUGUAUCGAACACUUGCGGGCCCAAGGGAUGAUGCACCGGAUUUCGUGUGGACCUUAUAGAGAGUAAAGAUAAUAUCUUUUGUGUGACCGUGCUGCUCUAUUGAUUAUUUUUAUUGCUCUUUAGCGGUAGACUAGUAGGAUGAUGUUGCUUAAAUUGGUAUUUAGAAAUGUAAGUUAGCUGAGGAGGAUGAACCUUAGGGGCGUAUUUGUAUCUUCUCUUCUCAUGUGAAAGACUUGCAUUCGUAAUCGUCUCACUUGAUAUUGCUUAUUUAGCUUUUGUUUACCACGGAUUGUGUUCAUCUAAACCUACGUUAGAUGUUCUGCUUGAUUUGUGUCAUUUCAUCUCAUGUUGUGUCCAUUUUUGAGUUACUCUAUGUUUGUAACUAGUUGAUCUUCGGUUUCUUUGGUCUCUUUCCCUAACUUCAUAUCAUGUCACCUCUUCAGUUCAAGACACAAAUUAGGUGGCGCUUCUGUUUCGUCUAAGGGGAUUUCAGCAUAGAGCCAUGACUCUCAGCUCUUGCAUUUUUUUUGUUUUGUUCCCUUCUCUCUUUUCUAACAUUGCCUGCUCAAAGUGGAGACUCAUUGCAUCCCCACAUUUAUGUUGUUUGCUGCUUUCAACUCCCCCUUGUUUCGAUUUGCUUCUUCAGAUGCUACACCACUUUUUACAGCAGCAGCAGCAGCAGCAGGGCUUUCACAUUAACAUUUCGACUUCGGCAUUUACUGAAUCUACCCAAUUGAAGCUUCUGUGUACUCAUUCAUCACCAGCUUUACUCGUCAGCAUUCGUUCGACAAGGUGCGUGAGGAAUAUAACAGCUUUUACCGAGAUUUGUUUUUGCACUUCACAAAGAUCUCUUUUGCUUAUGGUGACAGUUCUUUUAACCUUUUCUUCUCUUUUGGCUACUGUGUAGCUUAAACUAGUAAGCUCUGCGAGUCAUAAGUGAAGCCUCAAAGAAAGCCAUGUACGUACAUGUACUUAUCUUCAUGUUCAAAAGACUAAAAAGAUUAGAAAAGGCUUAUAGAUAAGUAUAUGUUAAGAUUUUUACAGUGGUGUCCAUGGUGUUUCCAUUGUAAGUUUAAGGUAAAAUAUUUAGCAAAAGAAAUGUUUUGUUAGAAGCAGCGCUCCUCCAACAAGCAGCAGCAGCAGAGACCAGCUAUGCUGAGCAUAGACCUCACGAGAUUUAGAGUUAGCCAUUCAUUAAAUUAAAUUAUCAAUCAACUUAGACAAAAAGAGAAAAAAAAAAAAAAACAAAAGUAACAAUCAAAUAUGGUGGCAACAAAAAGUGAAUUCAAUUUUUCCUCUUUUUGAAAGCUAAGAACUCGUUUGAUAUCCUGUUUAAAUAAACCUGUUUAGAAAAGCAAAGUAAUUGAGAGGUAUAAUAAAAGGAUACAUGAAUAUCGCAUAAGUUAUUAUCGGAUAAUCUAUUUCAAAAAAGGAAAGCAACAAAAUUAAGAGAAAGGAAAACACAAACAUUAACAACAAGAACACAAACAUUAACAACAAAAGUAAUUGUUAAGGUGCUCCUUUAGAGGUGUCGGAUUGUUUCGUUGGCGCUAAUCAUUAAUCCCGAAAGCUCGAGCUGGUAGAAAAAUAUAAUUAUUCAUUUAAAGCGUAUAGAUAAAAUGCCAACGGAUCUCGAUUUGUGACUCAGGUCCAACCCGACCUCUUACCACAGUACAGCAUACUAGUCCCUUUUUAUUUUUCAGAUUUUAUUAUUUGAAAAAUAAAAAUUAUGAAAAACGUGCUUUUCAUACAAACUUUUUUUCUAGAGAAUAAUUAGUUUGCCAUGAAUUUUCGAGAAAUCAAACACUUCCUUAGUAAUGCCAUUUUUAAAAAAGCUAUAUCUGGACAUCCUGAAUGGUUUUUUUUAAAAUUUUUUUUAACGAGAGAAUUAAAAUACGAAAAUAAAGCUUUUACUUAAUUUUAAAACUCGAAACUUCAGUAGAAGCUUCAAUUCUUUUUUCUAUUAUUAUUUUACCAGGCGUUUUAUUAAAAUUUAUUAUUAUGAAAAGUAAAAACAGAAGCUAAGCCGAUCAGAUCCUUGAAACAAACAGAUACAUGCAGAGAAAGAAUGAGUAAGAAGAGAUUGAGGGGUUAGGACUCGUGCCUUGUGGAGGGUAGGAAUCAGGAGAGGAUUGAGUGUAACUCAUUAAUUCUUUAAUUUUGUUGAUGCUUUUUGAGGAGAAAGUGAGAGAGAGCAGUGGUGGUGGUGGUGAAGGAACACCAGUUUUCUAUAUAUCAUGUUAAGUUCGUGACUCGUGAGUGAGAGAGAGAGAGAGAGAGAGUGAGAGAGAGAAGAUGGUGUUUUGUAGCAACAUUUUAGUCGGUUAUGCUCCAUAAAUAUUUUGUAUGUACACUCUCUUAUCUUUCUUUUUCUUUUGGGAAAACUUCAAAUACCUCCCCUGUGGUUUUUUACUUUUUCAUUUUAGUACCCUGUGGUUUGAAAUGUAUCAAGUUAGUACCCUGUGGUUUCACUUUUUUUCACUUUAGUACCCUGUGGUUUCUCACUUUAUCACUUUAGUACCCUAUGGUUUUACAUUUUAUCACUUUAGUACCCUAUGGUUUAUAUAAAUCACAGGGUACUAACUUGAAAAAAAAAAAAACACAGGGUACUAAAGUGAUAAAAUGCAAAACCACAGGGUACUAACUUGAUACAUUUUAAACCACAUGGUACUAAAGUGAUAAAUUGAGAAAAAACUACAGAGACUGAUUUGAUACAUUUUAAACCACAGGGUACUAAAGUGAAAAAAAGUGAAACCAUAGGGGAGAUUUUUGAAGUUUGCCCUUUUCUUUUUGUCUUUGAGUAAUAAUUAAUUAUGUACUCUCUUCUUAGUUAUAGGCUAAAUUAUAGAAAAUCCUCUUAUCAAAUCUUAAUUUUUCACUUUUCUGUUCUGUCGUUUAAAAAUCUACACUUUGCCCCCCUAUAAAAUGAAAAAUAUUCACUUCAUUCCCUACCGUUAGUGAUCCGUUAAGAUUCCUUUUAUAAAAUAUUAUUAUAUAUUUUUUUAUGCCAAAAAUAUUCUCAGUCUUUUUUUUUGUUGCCAAAAAUAGUGAGCGGCAAAAUGGUCAUUUUGUCAUUACUAUUUACAUCGUACCUCUUGUGAUCAUUUUUUAUUUUACAAUAGGAUAAAGUGUAGAUUUUUAAAUGAUAUGGAGAAAAAUAAAAAAUCAAGUUUUAACAGAAAGAUUUUAUGUAAUUUUGCCUUAUUUUUAUUUUGCAUUUUGACUCUAUAAUUCUAUUGUGUUACUUAGAUUGUCAGAUAAUUUAUGAUAACUUAUUCAGUAUAAAAGUAUUUUAAGAUAAUUAAAAAGUAUGAGUUUAACUUUUAUUUUCUAAAAGAUCCUGACAUUCAAAUGUAUAUUUCUCUUAUAGGAUGAAAGAUUUUGUUUUGAAUAAAAUUAUUUAAAAGCCGAAUAUACAAUCUAUUUUAAAUAUUUUGACCAUUGCUAGCUUGGCCACUUAAGGAUGUUUGUUUUACAAAAAAUGGAGAAGAGUGGAGCGAUUUUUACCGUAAUGUUUAUUUCUGUUGUCGGUUCAUCGUAACUUCGUCUUCCGUUAAAAUUCAUAACUUCGCCUUUCGUUAAAAUUCAAACUUUCUAAAAUAGUGUAAUUAAAAUAAUAAAAUAUUCAUUCUUUCCUCAUAUCUUAAGCUUUUAUUUUAUUUCUACCAAAGAACCGUAAAACUAGAACAACUCUAAUUUUCCAGCUAUAUAAAUAAAAAAAAAAUUUAUCUGAAUUUUAAUUCAUUUGCGUAUUUAUUUCAAUCAAAACAAAACAAACAAACUGACCCUGAAUGAAACUCUAGUUUCUCAAGAACUGGGCUGUUUUGAACAUGUUCUUGUAUCCUCAUUCCUUGUUUUAACUUCUAAUCCACCAAUUAAACUCUCUUUGCAAAAAAUGAAAUAAUAAUAAUAAUAAUAAUAAUAAAUGCAUUAAUCAGCUCAAGCCAUAUAAAGCUACAAUGCCAGCACAUCAUCUGGAAACUUCUUAUUUGACAUGUGUUGUGCGAAUCCUACGGCUACGAUUCAAUCAUGCUGAAGCAUCAUUAUCCGUUUAUUUGCAGAAAAAUGUAGUAGCUCGUGGAAGCUUCUGGACAAGAAGUCAAANUUAAUUCAUUAAAAAUUUAGACCUAAUGAGAAAAAGAGGUCUAUUUUUAUAAAAAUAUAAAUUUAAUAAAUUUUUUCAUGCAAAUUGGUCUAUAAAAUAUAUAUAUAUAUAUAUAUAUAUAUAUAUAUAUAUAUAUAUAUAUAUAUAUAAUAUAUCCACAAACCCAAACCGAAAAAAAAAAAAAGAAUUAUGGGUGAAAAGAUGAUCACAAAACACUAAUUAUUCAAUUAUAAUAAACUAAAAUUUUAUACAUCAAUCAUGAUAAAUGAAGUAAUUUGUUGUGAAUUUAUUUGGACCCGCUAAAAAAAAUAAAUGAAAAGUACAACAUUCUGAUCCGAUAUAAAUACUAUUCAAAUUCAAUCUACUCUAAAUAAAAUAAUUAAUAAAAAUAAAUAUAAAAAAAAUUUAAUUCGUUUCAAAUUCGUUCCCACGACACCACCUAUAAAUUGACCUCUACCUCUCUUGCUCUUAAUUUCCAACUAAUCCAGUAUUAGAAGGAGAACAACAACAACAACAACAACAACAACAACAAACACUCUUUUGUAGCAACCAUCACAUGGAUCCGAAGAACACCGCCACCACAGGAGGAGCAGCUCCUACACCGUCGCCGCCACCGCCCGCGACAAGCGGUGGCGGUGGCGGUGAGACGACGGUGCCGUCGGCGAUGUGGGGGACGCGGCAGAUGGGGCAGCCGGCGGCGCCGACGGCGCACCCGGGGAACCAGGAGGCGGCGGCGGGGCAGUGGCGGCCGCGGGCGGCGGACGAGGAGGCGCCGCCCUACGUGCUGGAGCGGCAGCCGGUGGCGCACAAGCCCAACGCCAGCCCCAUGGAGCACAUCCUCGACUUCUUCAACUCCUGGACCACCAAGGCCGAGGAGCUCGCCUCCAGCAUCUGGCUCAACUGUAACCGCUUCUCCUUCCCUUCUACCUACUGUACUCUACUGUAGUUAUAACUGCAUGCAUGCGUUCUCUUCUACGUACUGUACUGUAAUUAUAACUGCAUGCGUAUUCAAAUCCGUUGCUCGACUUACUUAUUAUAAUUGAAUAACUAUAACAGCUAGAGAACUAGUUUUAAAUAAAAAAAAUAAAAUUAGAAAGAAUUAUUAAAUUUGAUAGAAUUCUUUUUAUUACCUAAUCGAGUAAUAAAAAGGGGCGGUUUUAAACCUACCCUUCUAAAACUGUAAAACAACAUAGAUGUUCCUCCCCAAAAGUUCCAAGUAUUGUCAUUAGCCCUCUAAACAUACAACUUAAUCAUCAAUAUCAUUCUCGCUGCAACAAAAUUAGAUUAUAGGAACAGAUGUUGGGGACACUUUUGUCUAAGUAUCUCACUUAUGUCAAAAUUUUAAAAAACAUCUACUAAUCCCUAAAUAUAAAGCAGAAUCCAAUGAAAAAUAAAAUGUUACUAUACUCAACCCAUCCAACUCAGCCAAUUUGGCCCGAUUCUAAACAUAAAGACAAAAAAAAAAAAGAAAACAUCGAUUGCCAUCUCCCUUUCUCCCCUCACUCAAUCUACUGAAAUCCUAGACGAAGGGCUCUUCUCUCUCGUCCUCCUUUGCCACCGCAGCCAACGAGAUAGAGUUCUUGCUAGAUGCUUAAAUAAGUGUUGCUAAAUUAGCAAUACUUUUUUAGGUUAUAACGACACUCUUUAACUGUUGCUAUAUAUACCUAGCGACCCCACAUAUAACAGCACAUUUUAAAAGUGUCGGUAAUUUAGCCAGCAGUAUUUUUUUUGACCUAUACCGACAUUUAAAAGUGUCGCUAUAGACCGUUUUUAUUGUAGUGUCUAAAUAUUUAAAACUAUCACCAAUACUUCUAAACCUUAAGACGCUCAUAUUAUAUUUCAUAAUAUUUCUCAAUUCACAAAAGCAUCUAAAAAAUUAGAACUUUUUUGAGAGGGUAUAGAAAAAAUUAACCUUUAAUUAAAAAAAAGAAAAGAAAAAGCAAUGCUAAUCAUCCGUAGGCCUUUGUGGUUUAUAUUAACCCACUUGUCUUAUCAAUUUUUAUUAGAAUUAAUUUAAGAAGGUUACAUCACCCUUGGAUCCUUGGGGGUAUGAUCGAUGUACACUCUAAUAUAGGAUGUACGUAUAGUAACAAUUAUCUUUUCUUGGUGGAUAAAUUAUAUUUAAAUCCAUAGAUUAAGGAUAAAUUAAAUUAAUUAUUGACCCCUGAAAAAUCUUCUAUAUUGUUCAUUUUUGUCCAUCCAAAGUUUCGAAGUUUUUCAUUUUUGAAAAUUUAAUUGUAGGAAAUUUGCGCUAGAUUUGGCGGACACAAAAUUCAUAUUGCUAGAACGGUCCAAAAUUAAGCGUACUAGCCUCGAGAUGAUAAAAUGAAACAAUAGAAAUACAGUCGAAGUCAAGUCAAUAAUAAUAAAAAGAACCGACUGUCUCUAAAGCAAGUGGCAAAGGGCUUGGUGGUCGGUAUCCGAGACCGAAGUUCAAAUCCUAGUUAAUUCACAUUCCCAGCUAAGUUUAUUUCUAAAUAAAAUAAACGAAGCGGGUAACGUACUACCUAUCUCUCAAAUAAUAAUAAUAAUAAUAAUAAUAAUAAAACUAGAAACAAAAGUUUGAGUGAUAGUCCUGCACACGAAAUGAUUCCGCCGCAUAAGAGCUACAGAGAUACCGCACCCGAAUCCGAGUGUCGCCACAUUAUUCUAAGGCUCUGUUUUCCAGUCCCAAGUUCGGCUCGUGUGAUUCGGGCUGGGCUAGUCGUGUCGUGUUGCGCUGACCCGUCGGAUUUUCUCACAUCUUUUGGAUUGGCUGCAUAAUGCAUAGAAGCAGCAUUUGAGAUUGUGGAUUUAGGGCCUGUUUGGCCUAGCUUCUAAAAAAAUAAUUUCUGAAAAAAUAAUUUUGGUUUGAAGAAGUGAUAUUGCUUAAAAGUUAUAGAGCAUUUGGCGGAGUUUAGAUAAAAGUAAUUUUUUCUAAAGUGAUUUUAAAAAGCUGUUUAGCAAAUUAAAAAUUUUGAAAAGCUGUUUGAAAAGCAAUUUAAUUUUAAAAAUAUAUUUAAAUUUUAAACUUUAAAAUUUACAAUUUAAAUUUAAAAUUUAAAAUUUAAAAUAAUUAUGAAAUAUAAAAUUUAAAAUUUAAAAUUUGAAUAUUUUAAAUAUAAAAUAUAAAAUUUGAAUAUUUAAAAUUUAAAAUUAAAAUUUUGAAUAUUUAAAAUUUAAAAAUUAAAAUUUUAAAUUUUAAAUUAUAAAAUUUUAAAUUUAUAAUUUGAAGAUUAAAAUUUAUUAAUUUUUAAUUUUAAAAAUUUGAAAUUUAUAAUUUGUAGAUUAAAAAUUAUAAUUUAAAAUUUAAAAAUUUUAAAUUUUAAAAUCUAAAAGAAAUUUGUGACACUCCAAUAGUCCCACAUCGGAUAGAAAUGGGGUUGUCAUUGGAUUUAUAAGAGACUUAGACACUAGUAAUAAUANUGAAAUUUGAAAUUUUAAAAUCUGAAAUUUGAAUUUUGAAAUUUGAAUUUUGAAAUUUGAAAUAUGAAAUAAAAUUUGAAAUUUUAAAAUCUAAAAUUUGAGAUUUGAAAUUUAAAAUUAAAAUUUAAAAUUUAAAAUCUAUAUUUCAAAUUUUAAAUUUUAAAUUUUAAAAUUUUAAAAUUUUAAAAUGAAUCUGAAAAUUAAAAUUUAAAAUUUAAAAUUUAAAUUAAAUUUAAAUAUUUAAACUAAAAUAAAAAUAAAAUUUUGAAGUUUAAAUCCAAAUCAGAAUCAAUUUUCAAGAAGCAGCUUUUUUCUGCUUCUGAUUCUGAGGCUUUCAAAAUCAGUUUUCUGAUUCUAAAAAACAGAAUCAGAUUUUAAAAGUAAGUUGCCAAACGCUCUAUUGAGCCGAAAAUCACUUUUCAACCUAAAAGCGCUUUUUAAAAGUUAGGCCAAACACUCCCUUAUUGAGAGAUUAGAUAACACUCUGUAAGAUUUAAAGGGCAAAAUGAUUUGUUACCAUAAAAAGGAAAAAUUUUCGAGUGGACAAUUUCAAAGGAUAUAUAUAUCUAUAAUUUUAUACUCUGGCCAAAAAAAACAUAUAAUUUUGAAACUUUAUGGAGGUACGUAUGAAUGAACGUUAUUUCACUCAAAUGCAUUGGUGUUUGUGAAAAUGCUGCAGUGAAAACUGCGCCAUCCAAAUCGGAGGCGGCGCUCGGGAAGCUGAGCCUGACGGCGAAGGCCCUGACGGAGGGCGGGUUCGAGUCGCUGUACAAGCAGACGUUCCCGGCCGACCCGUCGGAGCGGCUGAAGAAGACAUUCGCCUGCUACCUCUCGACGACGACUGGCCCGGUCGCGGGCACCCUCUACCUCUCCACUCACAACCUCGCAUUUUGCAGCGAUCGCCCUCUCUCCUUCACCGCCCCCUCCGGCCAGCUUGCCUGGAGCUACUACAAGGUAAUCUUUCUUUUGCCGGGAAAAUUUCGAAAAGAUUCUUUAUAUUAUAACCCGAGUUCACUUUACUAUCCAAUGGUUUAAAAUGUAUGUUGACCGGCAAACUCUACAAGUUAAAUUAUUUUCAUCAAAAUGUUUGUAGACCGGUAAACGCUACAAGUUAAAUUAUUCUUGUUAAUUUAGUAGAAAUUGUACAAAAUUCAAUGACUCUAUCUUGGUUAGCUGUUAAUUGUUUUGGUUUUAUUUGCUAUAUAUAUAUAAUUGAAUUUGUUUGUUAGAUAAAAUUAAAUAAUAAAUUUGAUAAAAAAAAAUUAAUUCAAUUGACUAAUGUCGCUUAUUUUUUUAAAAAAAUUGAAAGUGAAAGGAGGGAUGGCAAAAGAAAAUGUUAAAAUUGAGAGGAUCAUUAAAAAUGUCCUAUAAUUGAGGGGGCCCUCAUUGCAUUUUGCGAUAUUGUGUUCAAUUAAGAGGCUGUUUGGUUCCUUAAAAAAAUAUGAAAAAAGAAUUCCAAGAAAAAAUAUAUUAUGGAAAUUUUUUUCUAUUUUUUCAUCCCUUUGGUUUAAAAGAUUAGUUUUUUUGGAAAGUUUUUUUUUUCUAAAUUUUAUGAAAAAUGAGUUUUUGGUUUUUCAGAUUUUUUAGAAAAAGGAAAAUACUAAUUUUUUAUAAAAUCCGAAAGAAGAAAAUUAAAAAAAAAUUAUUUUUUUUAGAUACAAAUUGAAAAAGAAGUUUUUCAUAGAAUUUUUUUUUUGAAUAUAUUUUUCACAGUUUUUUGAGAGACCGAAAAGAAGGUAAGAUUUAGAAAAUUGGUGCUAUGUCCACUUUUCAUUUUGUGUAUUAAAAUAUUACAUUUAUUACCUUGUGUACUUAUAAAUUUCAUAUAUAUUUAUGAAAAAAACUAAAGAGGCAACAAGCUGCGUCUAUGAAUCACAGAAUGGCAAAGUAUUAACAGUUUUUUUCUUUUCAAAAAAUGCGUCAAAAAAUGCGCAUCAAAUGUUCGAUAUAUGAUUGAGAUGAGUCUCAUAUUAUGUUAUCUCCAGGUUCUGAUCCCGCUGUCGAAGAUCGCGAAGGUGAAUCCGGUGACGCUGAAGGAGAACCCGCCAGAGAGGUACGUGCAGGUGGUGACGGUGGACGGCCACGAGUUCUGGUUCAUGGGGUUCAUCAGCUACGAGAAGGCCGUGAAGCACCUGCUCGACGCCGCCUCAGGCUCUGCGGCCGCGGCGGCACAGAGGAGUUCUCCUCAGCCUGCAGUUCACUAAUGCCUACAAGUGCAGUUCUAUAUAUAGAUGCAGUUGUGUAGAUGUGUGAGAUUUGGACUGUUAUAUAUACUGUUUACUAUUGUAUAGUGUUUCUUAGCUUGGCUUUGUUAUACACUAAUGUGGUGUGUGUUUUUGUUGUGAAUUUUGGACCUUUGGUGUUAGUUAUAAUUUUCAUUGAGUUAGCUCUUAUAGUUUACAUGGUCUACUUGUAAUUGGGAUUUACGUAAUUUGAUUAUUUUGAUUAGUUGGUUGGUGUUUUUGAAACUAUGCGGUGAAGUAAAUCUCAAGAAGAAUGUAUAAACUUUGGAAAUUUUGAUGCUUCUUCAGAUAAUACAAAAAUUUUUUACUCAAAUUUCUUUUUAGUACAUAAAAAGGUAAAAAAAAAAUAAAUUAUAACAGCUAAUUUUUUAUUAUAUUUUUUAAAUGUUUGGGCCGACUUCGGGUUCGGAUCUUUGCUAGCCCGAUCCAAACAGGCCCAUUUCUCGAUACAGGACGUUCCGCUUACUAUAAAUAUCCCGAUCGUUUUUCGUAAAGCACCUUUUUUCCCUCCCAAAUCAAGACGAUUCAACUAUGCCACCCAAAGAAAUGGAACCGAUCGCCGGAGAAGACGAGGUCGCCGGAGAUCCUCAAGCUGAAGCGGCCGAGAUCACUGGAGAAGAAGAGAUGGCGUUGGCGGAGGCGUCGAUCGCCGAGGGAGAUGAGAAGGACGGAGAGAUCGAUGCUUCUGCGGCUGUGGCGGCGAAUCAGAUGGCUGGAGGAGACGAUAAGGGCGGAGAGCUCGAUGCUGCGGCGGCGACGACGAUCGCCGGAGUAGAGGAGAAGGGCGGAGAGCUCGAUGCUUCGGCGGAGAUGGAAACGGCGCCAAUGGCAGGCGGAGGCAAGAAGUAUGGAGGGCUCAAUGCUUUGGCGGCGCCGACGGUGUCGCCGAUCUCUGAUAGACACAAUAAAGGCAUAUGUCUCAAUGCUUUUGGGGCAGCGGCAGCGGCGGCGAUCACCGACAGAGACAAGAAGGGAAGAGGGCUCGAUACCUUGGCCGCAGCGCCGGUGGCGGCGGCGCCACCUCCUCAGCCUCCUCUUCUGCCGGACCCCCUGCCUUCAUACAAAGAUGUCGUCGAAAUGUUGAGAUCGAUCUCCCCCACCGUCCCCACUGUUGGCAUCCACAAGUCUAUGGUUCCCGGCUUCGGAGAUAAGGUAGCUCUUCUAGAAGCUUCCGCUAGGGUUCUUGAUCUGUUCCUAGUAUAUACUAAUCUACUCACGGUUUUGUGGCCAGGAAUUGUAGACUGAUUGAUAGAUCACUCUUCUUGCUAUUUUCUUCUCUUUUUUUUUCCAAUUUAUAGAAUUGCUCUGCGAUGUUCGUAAUUUUAUUUCCUUAUGUCAUGUUGAGCAAAUCCUUUAAGAGAUCUUUUACUGCUAUCUUUCUCUAUAGAGGUUAGAGACUGAAAUUUAAUCUGCUUUUGUGAGGUUAAGGGCCUAAUUGUACAAAUUGAACAGUUGAAGACAACAUUGAAAAUUGCCUAGAAGGUUGGGGAACUCUUGGUGUAACUUAAGACAUGCAUUCUAAUUGUUUGAGUUGCUAUUGAAUUGAUUGAAGAGGAACCUUGCUCUUUUGGUGUUUGUUUGCUAAUUUGAUGAUAUAUUAUGCUUCUCUAACACCAACCCUUUUUUUUUUUGUUUUUCCAAUUUCUUGGAUUUGUUGCAUAUCUGUGAGUAUGUAUUUGAAAGAACUUGUUUCUUAGGAUUACAGCUAUAUCAAACAAGAGAUAGGUCAAAGACAUGUUGUUAGUUAUUCAAAUCUUUGAUGUUACCUCUGCAAGAAAUGUCGAGCAUUUGGAGCUUUAGUUCGUCUUUAAGAUGAAUUCAGCAUUAGGAAUUGUAAUUAAGCAAGAAAGAUUCAUUAUUUCAUAAUGAUCUGUUUUGUUUACUAAAUAAAACUCCAUGAUGUAAGGGAAAAAAAAACGUUGUUAAUCCAACCAUUAGUAUUCUGGUGGUAAGGACUAAGAAUAAUAUCAAAUAAUUACGUGAUGCAAAAAUGUUUGGUGGAUAUUGGUUGUACCUUCACGCUUUAUAAAUAUAUUUUCCUUUGUUGUGUUGUAAUGCAUGAAAGCAGGUUCUUUAUUGCUUUUGUAAUUUCUGGUGUCUUGGAAGCUGGAAGGUGUCUCAUCAUUUAUUUUUGCGCUUCCUGUACUUUGAUAUAUUACUUGCAAUCAAAGGAGGAUUCUUGAUGCUCAUUGACUACAGUUUUUAAAGAUUAAAAAGAUUAUAUGUUUACGGUCAUUGUCAAGGGCAUAGAUUUGCAAUGAAAUCUUUCUAUCUCUGAAUGAAAUUAGACCUUUUACCAACCCCCUUCACUAUUAUUCUGGAAUUAUCAAUGUAACUGGUCAGUUUCAGAAUGCUGGUUUAACAUCACCGAGCAGAUGGUUUCUUCUUUACUUACAAAUUGGUACUUGUGAUGGCCAACCAAUGGAAUAGAAUGUUUGAAAUUCUUCCAGCUGGCUUUACUACGGCAUUGCUUAUUUGUUUAAAUUGCAUAAGCAUUCUUUUCUGUCUUUCGAUUUUUCCUAAUGUGAAAUUCUAUAAUAGUUUCUUAACCAGCAACUAAAUUACAUCCUUUACUCGCAUGUUUGUGUUGCCCAUUUACAGCUUAGUUUUUUUAUUCACAUAAUAUGGUAAGUGAGAGAAUUUCACUAUUGCAGGAAUCGUUGCGGGAAUUCGCUGCCAAGUAUCCAUCAUGCGACGUCAUCAUUAAGGAACAUAUGGAGGUUUAUUUAACCAAGCAACUGUUGUCCUCUUUUUUUCCCUUCAGCAAUCAUGUUGUUUUUUAUUUACCUAGUAAAAAUCAUGUUAUUUCAGAAGCUUGGUAAAGCCUAUCCAUUUUUUAGACGAACAUAUCUGGUUGGCAGCUCGUUGUUUCGGUGCUUCAUGAUUGCUUACCUGGUUUCUAAUUAACCUUUUCCAAAUUUUUCUCAUCUUAGUUCAAUGUGUUCAUGUACAUACUCAUGAAGUGAUUUGGGGUAUAGGAGCAAAUUCUGAUAGCAGAAGACUACCAAGAGGCUUCUUAUAUGCUCCAAUGUAUUGAAGAUUGCAAGUACAGGCAUAUGAACCUUGGAGGCUCUAAGUCCGAGUUUGACGAUUUUGCUAGAGUAAGUUUACAUUGGUGUUAUAUAUUCCUAUUUGUUUGUGAUUAUACAAUUUUAAUGUGAAGACUUAGAAUUGCUUUCCUACUCAUUGUGCUACACCUUUCAACCUUUCAGCAUUAAUGACCUUUUAUACAUGUUUUAGGAAUUCUCUCAACUGCUGUCCAGUGUUUCAAGAAAAAAAAAUCGUAUAAGGUAAGUGCUCGUAUUUCGAAGCCAAUAUUAUAUUGCAACUCGGUUUAACUUAUAUUUUUAUCAGUCACAAGGAGCUCAUGGAGAAAUGCCACGACGAACAUACUUCACGCAGCAGUGAGAACAUUUAACUCUUUAUAUGUUUCUCUUUAUAUGAGCAACGAUUUCUGUGCCUAAUGUAAUCUUUGGUUAUUCAGUUAUAGUUUUCUUAAAAUUAGCUGCUUGUGCUGUGGCUUGUGAAACGUGGGCAGCAGCGUGUGGAUAUCAAAACGCUGCAGCGGUUAGUACUGCUUUCAUUUUGUAUUUUUGAGAUAUCUGCUUCUGCCAUUUGAACUGACAUGACGUCAAUUUUAUUACAACCGUGUUUUAGUGUUCAUUCAGUGAUUCACCAUGUCAUUCAAAUACUCUAUGUUUAUGUGUAUAUAAGAUGUUCUACACUAAUCCUUGAAUCUCAUUGAAUUUCUAGCUUGCCUUCCAGACAUUCAAUGAGAAGCAUUACUCAUUGCUUUACUGUUAUAAUCAUCAAGUUGGGGCCACACUGAGGAAAAGAUUGGAUUAAAAGCUAGGAAUUAGGCAUAACUUCAGUGAAUUUGGAAAAAACAUUAAGGACCUAGUUCAGUUUAGACUACAUGCAUAUUUAACACCAAAAGUUAUUCCUGUAUCUUAAAUAGUUUUACUCCUCACAUUCUCAGAGUACAAACAGUUAAAAUCAUAACAAACAACUCACUUUGGUUAUAAGCAGUGCACAAGUUUCUCUGAUAAUUUCAUAACAAUGUGUUGAUUAUUCAUCAGUUCUCAUGAUUUCGGGAAAAAUUGGGGAACAAGCACUUCUUUCCAGUAGAAAAUUCAAGAGUUAUGUCGUUAUGUAUUUUUUCAAAAAAAAAAAAAAAAAAAAUCUAAACAUGUAACUAUGUUUAAAUGAACCAUUCUUUGGUUCUUUCUCUCUCUCUCUCUUUUUCUCUCUGUCAACUAUUCAGUUUGCUGGUGUGCAACAGUUCUGCCUCAAGGAAAUUGUCCCGACAAACUGUGAAGGAGUGGAUGGAAAAAUCAUCAGCCUCGUGGUGAGUGCAUUUCGGGUGCCGGUACGCGUGUUCACGCUGACGAAUACACGAUUGCUGCGCCAAGAUCCCCAGGACUACCUCUCCCCGUCUCUCGGCCCUCCUCGGCCAUUCUUGACCUUCAUGGUAAGGGCCGGCUGUUGCGAAGUUCUCUACUCCUAGUACAAACCACUUAACACACACAAGGACUAGUGUCUUACUGAUUCAUAACAUUUGGUUCAUAAUUUUCUUCCAAGCAUAGGAUUGUUAUAGGCUUCAGUUGAAAAGCAUACUGUUCAUAGAGAAGAGUAGAGAGAAUUGUAGAUUUUGUAGUGGACACAAUGAUGAUAUAGUAUUCGCACUUACUGUGAAACCAAGCAUAUUGUUCUUUAAUAGAGAGAGGGAGAGUUUUGUAAAGAUUGUAGUAGACUUGCAGUGGGAAGGAAUAUACUGUUCAGAGAGAGAGAGUUCUACACAGUGCAGAGGCAUACUUUGCUUAAAACAUAGAUAAAACUUCUCUGCUUGUUUUAUCACUUCUUAGAUUUUCUUAAUAUUGAAAUGUGCAAAAAAAGAUAAACCCUACAAAGGAGGUUUUUUUUUAAAAAAAAAUAAAUUAAAACAUUCAUGUACCUUUUAGUUGUUGUAAUCUAUAAUCCUCUUUAGGUUGAUGAAAGAUGUUGGAAAUAAUAGGCAGCGGAAACUUACAAACCGGAUAGCCAACGUAUUCGGGAACCGGAAUCGGAUCGGGUUGCUCGUUUUACAAGCCUUCUUGGAUCGUCCUUGUCUCGAUGCUUCUGGAUCUCCCACGUUUCUCGUCUUCUUCCACGCGUACGCCUUACGUCACGGAACGGAUCGCCUUACGUCACGGAUGCCAAUCGGAGAGGGCUACCAGAGUCCUCUCCUAUGUCCACACCCUAAAACCCCGGGAACGUAGGUGGAAAUCCCAGAGAGGAAGAGGAGAGAGAAGAAGGAAGAUUUUGUGGAUUCUCGAAUUAGAUCGUAUUCAAUCGUCUCUUCUACGGGAGAAAACGGGGGCGUAUAUAUAAAAUAACGGAACCCCUAAAUAUCCUGAAUCUCCUAUAGAUUAGGAUAAGGAUUGGGAUAUUUAUUAACAUAUAAUAAAUAUCCAUUAUAAGAUAUGUUUCUUAACUGAUAAGAAACAUAUAAUUCAUACUUAUCCUAAACUUGUUAGGAUGAAUCAUGAUCCAUAACUUAUGUGGAUCGGGUCAAAUCAUAACCCGCCAAUGUGGACACACCAUAUGGCAACAAUCUCCCACUUGGCCACAUUGGCCAACUCUCUCUCACUCAUUCGUCUCUUCAUACGGGUAAUAGAGCGUGCGACCUGACGAAAAGAACCACAUGCAGGAGUGCUAAAUUAAGUCACCACCCAACUAAUAUAGCACAUCACUGACUUAAUUCGUCUAUGCCCUAGACGUUUCAACACACACCGGAUCAAGCAUCACAAAGUCCCUCUCCUGUAAUGACAGGGCUCGACCCCACCGUUAUUUCUCGUACUCAUGAUUAUCUCAAGUAACACAACCGAGAUAACCGCCCGGGCAAUGAGUCACAAGACUUACGUGGUGUGUUAUCGAAACAUCUUCCUCAGCCCCUCACGUUAAUCCAUAUUGGUCCAAGCACUUUACUAGACGUGCUCCGCGAGAUCGUAUUUUCUCAUGACCCUGAGAUACACGCUAAGUUAGUUACUUUUGACCUCCACUUCAUAACGUAGUUCUAAGUCGAGGGCACAAAAGGGUUAGUGCUCACACAGUGACAUGGAGGGAAGAGUUUAUGUCACUCUACUAACUGGUCGACAAGCACAUACAGUAUGAUAUGUAUGCUAUGGCGGAGCUCCCACUCAAUGGGACAUGUCACGCUCUGAAAGAACGCCAUACGAACCUUGGUCUAGGUACCACUAAGGUAUCUAACCACCACAACUCAAAUCAUCUCUCUAACAUGAGCACUUAGGUUCGCCUACUAUACAGGCUCGAUAUGAAAUUUCACAAAAAUUCAUAUCUGACUCUUGAGAGUCUCAUCUUAAACUAAUUAAGGCGACUUUUAAAUUACGUUAACACUUUAUUCAUAACGUAUAUGAACAAAACAAUCAUAUUAAAACUAUUCAAGUUCAAUAUGAUUAUUUAGUCUCAUCCUGCUCACCACCUAGGUGCCAGAGCGAUCACCCGUGUGAGUGGGCUGAUCUGAACCCGGUGACUUAACGAAUAUGUGCCUACUAGUAUCAAUUACGCAAUCACAUUAAAAGAAAAACACAUUUUCAUUAAUAAAGCGUAAAAUACAAAAUAAUGUCCAUAAAUCAAAACCUACGAAGACCCAAACUCCUAACGUGGGUCUGGAACAUAUCUCUAGCUAUCGGCUUGGUCAACGGAUCAGCCACUAUCCUAGUGGUGGAGAUAUGUUUAAGAACGACCUCGCCGAGCUUAAUCAUGUCUCGAAUGUAGUGAAAUCAGAUAUCAAUAUGCUUGGUCCUGCCAUGAUACUUGGGAUCCUUCACAUAUGCCAGGGCAGCCAUACUGUCAGAGAACAUCUCAACAGGUUCAUUUGCUCGAGUCACGAUGUCGAGGUGCUGGAGAAAUCUCCUCAGCCAAACUGCCUCCUGUACGGCCGCUGAACAAGCAACGUAUUCCGCUUCCAUGGUUGACAAGGUAAUGCAGCUCUGUUUCUUACUGCACUAGGAAAUUGCCCCAUCUCCAAGCAUAAACACAUAGCCUGAGGUGGACCUGCGCUCAUCUCUAUCACCGCCCCAAUCAGCAUCACUAUAUCCUUUCAAUCUCAAGUCCCCACCUUGAAAACAGAGAACGAGAUCAUUGGUUCCUUUUAAAUAUCGAAGGAUUCUCUUGACCUCUUGCUAAUGAAUAGGUCCUGGGUUGCUCUGGUAACGACUUGCCAAGCUAACAGCGAAGCAAAUGUCAGACCGAGUACACAUCAUAGCGUCCUGGGUGGAAAUCCCAGAGAGGAAGAAGAGAGAGAAGAAGGAAGAUUUUGUGGAUUCUCGAAUUAGAUCGUAUUCUUUUUCGUCGUUUCUACGGGAGAAAACGGGGGCGUAUAUAUAGAAUAACGGAACCCCUAAAUAUCCUGAAUCUCAUUAGGAUUAGGAUUGGGAUAUUUAUUAACAUAUAAUAAAUAUUCAUUAUAAGAUAUGUUUUUUAACUGAUAAGAAACAUAUAAUUUAUACUUAUCCUAAACUUAUUAGGAUAAAUCAUGAUCCACAUCUUAUGUGGAUCGGGUUUAAUCAUAACCCGCCAAUGUGGACAAACCAUAUGGCAACAAUCUCCCACUUGGCCACAUUGGCCAACUCUCUCUCACUCAUUCGUCUCUUCAUACGGGUAAUAGAGCGUGCGACCUGACGAAAGAACCACAUGCAGGAGUGCUAAAUUAAGUCACCACCCAACUAAUAUAGCACAUCACUGACUUAAUUCGUCUAUGCCCUAGACGUUCCAACAUACAUCGGAUCAAGCAUCACAAAGUCCCUCUCCUGUAAUGACAGGGCUCGACCCCACCGUUAUUUCUCGUACUCAUGAUUAUCUCAAGUAACAUAACCGAGAUAAUCGCCCAGGCAAUGAGUCACAAGACUUACGUGGUGUGUUAUCGAAACAUCUUUCUCAACCCCUCACGUUAAUCUGUAUUGGUCCAAGCACUUUAUUAGACAUGCUCCGCGAGAUCGUAUUUUCUCAUGACCCUGAGACACACGCUAAGUUAGUUACUUUGGACCUCCACUUCAUAUCGUAAUUCUAAGUUGAGGGCACAAAAGGGUUAGUGCUCACACAGUGACAUCGAGAGAAGAACUUAUGUCACUCUACUAACUGGUCGACAAGCACAUACAGUAUGAUGUGUAUGCUAUGGCGGAGCUCCCACUCAAUAGGUCUUGUCACGCUCUAAAGAAAACGCCAUACGAACCUUGGCCUAAGUACCACUAAGGUAUCUAACCACCACAACUCAAGUCAUCUCUCUAACCUGAGCACUUAGGUCCGGCUACUAUACAGACUCGAUAUGAAAUUUCACAGAGAAAAUUUUCAUAUCCAACUCUUUAAAGUCUCAUCUUAAACUAAUUAAGGCGACUUUAAAUCAACACUUCAUUCAUAACAUAUAUGAACAAAGUAAUCAUAUUACAACUACUCAAGUUUAAUAUGAUUAUCUAGUCUCAUCCUGCUCACCACUUAGGUGCCAGGGCGAUCACCCGUGUGAGUGGGCUGAUCUGAGCGUGGUGACUUAACGAAUAUGUGCCUAUCAAUUACGCAAUCACAUUAAAAGGAAAAACAUAUUUUCAUUAAUAAAGUGUAAGAUACAAAAUAAUGUCCAUAUCAAAACCUACGAAGAUCCAAACUCCUAACGUGGGUCUGGAACAUAUCCCUAGCUAUUGGCUUGGUCAACGGAUCAGCCACCAUCCUAGUGGUAGAGAUAUGUCUGAGAAUGACCUCGCUUAGCCUAAUCAUUUCUCGAAUGUAGUGAAAACGGAUAUCAAUAUGUUUGGUCCUGCCAUGAUAUUUUGGAUCUUUUACAUACUCCAAGGCAGUCAUGCUGUCAGAGAACAUCUCAACAGGUUCAUCGACUCGAAUCACAAAGUCGAGUCGCUGGAGAAAUCUCCUCAGCCAAACAGCCUCCUAAAACGACUGCUGAUCAAGCAACAUACUUCGCUUCCAUAGUAGACAAGGCAACGCAGCCUUGCUUCUUACUAUACUAGGAAAUUGCGCCGCCUCCAAACACAUAGCCUGAGGUGGACCUGCACUCAUCGCCAUAACUAGUAUCGCUAUAUCCUUUCAAUCAAGCCCCCAUCUUGAAAGAAUAGGACGAGAUCACUGGUUUCUUUUAAAUAUCGAAGGAUUCUCUUAACCGCUUGCCAAUGAAUAGGUCAUGGGUUGCUCUGGUAACUACUUACCAAACUAAUAGCAAAACAAAUGUCAGGUCGAGUACAAAUCAUAGCGUACAUCAAACUGCCAAUUGCACUCGCAUAAGGAACCCUACUCAUUUGCUCCUUUUCUUUAUCCGUUUUAGGGCACUGAUCAAGACUCAGAGUGUGAUUCUUCUCCACUGGAGUGUCAACAGUUAUGCAUCCUAAAACGCUCUAGAAUCUUUUUAAUAUAAAAUUUUUGAGACAAACCAAGAAAACUUCUAGAGCGAUCCAGAUGACCUUCACUCCGCUGCCUAUUAUUUCCAACAAUUGGUAUCAGAGCAUGUGUGAUUGUUUUCGCCUUGUGAUCAUGCCUGCGAUGUGUUUUUUUUGGAAUUGCUUGUUUCCUUGAUCAAUUUUUUUGUAGAUCGGUUUUACAAAUUCCCUUUUGGAUGGUUUCUAUGUGAAACCGUUUAAUAAUAAUAAUAAAAUUAAAAUUAAAUUAGUUUUAAUUUUAUUUCAAAUUGAUCAAGGUCCUUUUUUUUUCAUGCUUCGUGCAUUUAUUUAUUUAUUUAUUUUUAUAUAUACAUGUGCUGUAUAUAUAUAUAUAUAUAUAUAUAUAUAUAUAUAUAUAUAUAUAAAAUUUAUAUUUAUCCUAAACUUAUUAGGAUAAAUCAUGAUCCACAUCUUAUGUGAAUCGGGUUUAAUCAUAACCCGCCAAUGUGGACAAACCAUAUGGCAACAAAAGAGAACAGCUGGAGGUGGUAUUUUUUUUUUCCCUUCUUACCGUUCUUAAAUGUACGUAUAAUCUCUGCACUGUCCUAGUAUUGCACUUCAGUCCCGAAUCAUAACAUCAAAACAUAUUAUUUAGUUUAAAAUAACAUUUAAUNAUUUAUUGCACUUCAGUCCCGAAUCAUAACAUCAAAACAUAUUAUUUAGUUUAAAAUAACAUUUAAUCACAUUUGAAGUAGACUAAGUAUUACAUGAAAGGUACAGGAACCAAAGUGCAAUACUAGGACAGUGCAGAGAUUAUACGUACAUUUCACUCUCAUAAAAAAAAAAAAAAAAAAAAGUAUUUCGACACUUGUCUAUAAGUGUAAAUCUUGCACCUCCACCAUCCAAGAGUUCACAAAACCCAAUUGUGUUUUAAUAAUGAGAGUCCGGCUACUGUACUAUUAUAAGUACGAUCGCUCUCAUACUCAUAAGUUGUUUUCGAUAAUAGAGCUUCUGAAUUGACGAUCCACACCGUUAAACAUUGUCUAAAGCAUUUGAAACAUUUAGAAAUCAAAUUUUAUAAUUUUUCGAUACAAUUGAGCUACUGUACUAUUAUGAGUAUUAGGCCCUUCGUACUCAUAAGUUGUUUUCGAUGAUGGAGCUUCUGAAUCGACGAUCCACUCCGUUAAAUAUGAUCUAGAGUAUUUGAAAUUUCUAGAAAAUAAAUUUCGUAAUUUUUCGAAAUCAUAAUAAAGUUCAUCAAGCUGGCAUAACAUGAACAGUCAAAAUCGAAUGAUGUCUUAAAAAUGGAUCAUCGGAUCCUUCAAUUUAAGAUCGGAGUUAUUGAUCUUUAUCUAGGUAGUGAAUAGAAUUUUCUAUCAAAAAUUCAAUAAAUUCUGAUUCUUUUACACCGUUAAACUAGCAAAUAUUUCAUACCGGCCGUUAAAAAUUGUCAAUUUUAUGACAUUUUGAUCGUAAGGCAAAUGAUGUCGAAAAAUUAUAAAAUUUGAUUUCUAGAAGUUUUAAAUGCUGUAAAUAAUGUUUAACGGUAUGGAUCGUCGAUUCGAAAGCUCUAUCAUCAAAAACAACUUAUAAGUACGAGGGCGAUCGUACUCAUAAUAGUAUGGUAGCCGGACUCUAUAUAUAUAUAUAUAUACACACACCGCUUGUGAAAUGCACUACCAAGCCAUGGUAUCCUUCGGUAUUAUGUUCCGAAUUUGAAUUAUAAUCUACGUACAAAAUUAAGGCUUAGUUUGCUUCUACGUUCUCCGGUGAGACCGCAGAAAAUAUAUGGUAACCGACUUAUUGUGAUAUGCGGAACACAAUAUUAUGUGCGGAAAUAAAUAGGGUAUUUUUUCAACGUACUUUCUCACCGCAAUCUUCCCGCAAACUCAAACGAAGCCUAAAUAUAUAAAAGUAAAUAAGUCAAUCUAACUUUAUUACAAAUUAAAGGCCCAAAAAACCUACUUGUUCUUUAGGCGAAAAAAGCCCAUUGGGCCUAGAUGCCUCUAACCCUCCAACUAGGCGUCCUUGGAAACGCCAUUUAAUAGCAGUAAUAAUAAUUAUUAUUAAUUAUUAAUAAUAAUAAUAGCAGCUUCCUCUCGCAAAACUACACGACGAAGACGACGACGACGAAGAGGACGACGAGAUCUCUAGCAACCGCAAUGGCGACGAAGGGAGUGGGAGGAGGAGGAGGAGGAAAGGGAGAGGAGCCCGCGUGGGGGGUUCCCUACUACGGCUACGUCCCCGUAGCCGCAGCCGCAGCCGAUCUUCUACGUGGGCGAGAGCCCCUAUCAAUCCGGUAUGAUCCCCCCGAACGCCGUUUUCGGGGACGCGGAGGCGAUCCCCCUCCACCAGACGAUGUUCCGCGACAACCCCGCCCCCUUCAACUGCAUCCACUGUGGCGCCUCCGCCCUCUCCCGCGUCAGGUCCCUCUCUUUCUCUCUCUUCCCCGUCGAUCGCUUCUCCUUCUCCUUGGUUUUGAUUCCUUAUUUCAUGAAUCCUAGGGUUUUGAUUUUGUUGCCGAUUCGAUCGACUCUUUCUCAGUUUUGUUUGAUCGGCGCUUUUCUGAUCACGCGACAAUCGGAAUCGUUUCUAAUCUAUUAAAUUGUUAGGGAUUUACGAAGGAAAGAAGGAUUGAACAAUAGGAUUUAGGGUUUCUUUGUGUCAUGAGAUAAUUUCCAAAUGGAUGAAAUGUUCAAUAAAGUUUAUCGUUAUAUUUAAUGAGCAAUUAUCUUUUAGGAUAUAAAACUUACCUCAACUAUCACCCAUUUUGAUUUAAUUAUCUCACCUCUAAAAAUUUUGAGUUUACUAACUAAUUUUUUUAAUUUAUUUGAUUUGAGCCCGCUAGUGAUACUUUAAGUUCUAAAAUUUGAUCGCGUUGUUUAUCUUUUGUGCAAUUCACAUAGUUAAUAUAUUUUAUGCAAUUCACAUAAUUAUUCAUUUAUUAAAGUAAGCAAUUAGCUUAAAUUUUGUGACCGAAGAGCUUUGUGUCCAAAGAGCCAUUAAAUUAUCUAAAUUAAACAAAUUGAAAGAUUGGGUACUAAAAUCAGAACUUUAAAAGGUCGGAUAGUCGAAUCGAAAUGCUUUAUACUUCAAGUAAGUUUUAUACAUUUUUAACUUAUCUGAGAAUGUAAUGUCCAGUAAUCUUGCCCUUUCUAUUUUGUAGAGAGUUAGUACGUUGAAUCGAUCUCAUGUGCUUUAUUUCACUUUAGGGUUUCAAGAUCCUUUGUUUGGAUUAUAUUAUGCUAGAUUAGAUUAAUUUAAUUGCAGCAACGAAGCAACUGUCACAAGUGCUUAGGUUGUGUUAAAUUGUUAACACCUUGCUUAAUUUGUUCGAACUUUUCUAUAAAGCGACAAGUCAUAGGAAAGCGACUUGUGUGCCGGAUUCUUAUUGCGAGUCUCAACUACAAAACGGCAUGUGUUUAGAUUCUAUGCAGUAUGGUCAAGGAACCGGUAGUUCGUAUGUGGCGCAUAUGCACUAAACGAACAACAUUUUGGAAACACUCUACUUGCCAAUAAGAAAUAAGUAGAAAUCGCACAUUUGCGAAGCUUCUAAGUUCUAAUGGUCAUUUUGGGGUUAUCUCUAUCAUCUUAACAAUUUGUGGUAGACUAUUAUAGACAUAUAUGGUGAUUUGAUGAUUUCUUGUUGGGUAAACAUGAUUUCAACUGCAGUGGUUAUAUCUCGAUUUGGCUUUGAUAUUUCAUUCGUGAUUGCUUUUCUCCUUUUGUGUUAGAAGUAAUGUAGAAAUAUAAUAAUUUGUUUUUAAAUUAUACUGUAAUGAUAAAAUUGAUAUUUUGUUGGAACAUGUCAUAUAAUUCAUUUUGUUUGGGGUAUCAAGUACAUUAAUGUAAAUGAUUAAUAUAAUGUUGAUUAUCUAACUUAAAAGUGGAGGUUCAGAAAACUUGGUAGAUGCAGAUAAGUAAUUUAUGGGCAAUAGUAACAAUCAUUAGCAUGGUAUUACUAAACUGGUUGUAUCUCAUUUGGAUGCAAUUGACCUUUGGAUUCCUGAUUAGUAGUUUCUGUCACAAGCCUGAAUCUUUUGCUUUAGGAAUUUCUUUGAGGUGUUAUUCUUUUCUCCUUUUGGUGGUUGUCACAUUGGUUGGAGUUUUCAGCAUCACACUAGCAUCGAUCUUGUAAUUUCAGUUCUUCGAUUGGAUAUCUCACUGCAGUUCUUUGAACUGACGAGAUAGCUUUGAUAUUUGUUUUAUCUGUCAUUUUGUUCAUUAAUUCUUGCUGCUAGUAAUCGAAAAUAUAGAAAGAAUGAUGUUCGGUUUAACUUCUGCAUAGGUCCAAACCAAGUCUGGCAGCUGUUGUCGCGUGCAUGAUGCCAUUUAUGAUGGGGGUUUGCUUUCUUUACCCCUCCAUGGACUGCCUUUGGCAUAAGUACCACUAUUGCCCUAGCUGCGGAGAAAAGGUAAAUUUUUUUUUUCUUUUUUUUAUCUUUAAUCCUUUUGUUUUUUCUAUUUUGAGUCCCUUUUAAAUAUAGAGCUGCAAUUACUGUGUGUACUUCCAGGUUGCGGAGUUUGAGAAAUCGGAUCCCUGUCUCGUGAUGGACCCGACCCGCUGGAGCGAGGAGAGUUUUGCACUUCCUGCAUAGCUCAAAAUGUGUCAUGAUUCUUUUCCAUCAAAUUGCUUUGCCCUUUCUUUUUUUUCAAAGUUUGAGUUGUACUUCACCUGUAAAUGCAUUGUUUCACACAAGCUGAAGCUUUAUUACUGUUUUCAAAUUUACUUACUUAACCCUCCUGCCUAUUUGUCAUAAGAUGUUGGAUUAGCAAUUGAUCUUGAUCUUCAACUGUAUCAUCAUAAUAGUUAUAAAGUCGGAUUUAGCUCACAAACUUUGAGUUGGAGAACUUUGCAAGGAACUGUGAUCUUAUCUUUUGAGUUUUUAAACUCUUGAGAAUGAUAGGAGCAAGCAAAAUAACACAGUAAGUUUUAGAUUUACAUAUUUUGUAGUGUUUUGUAUUUCACCAAAUCAGUAUUUUUUUUUUCCCGUGAAUUUACUGGAAUUUGGGAGUGUUUGAGCUUUGCCUUAUCAGAUGCAACUUUUUGACUCUCCACGUUCUCUUUAGCAACAGUUUAAGAUGUCAAUAUAAUCUAAUUCCACCUUAAUCAAACAGUCAUAUGCAAUAAUAAGCCAUGCAAUAUUCGUGGCAUUCAUCAAGAAUCGUGUCAGAACCCAAAAAAUGGCAAACUUCUAUUCCCGAUUAAAAGAAUUUCUAUCAUACUAUGUACAACAAAAUGCCACAAAAAUUGUUCCCUCUCGUGUACAAAAAGCGGAGAGAAAAACUCCAGCACAGGAUUUAUAACAGCAGAAUUUCAGAUCAAUAAACCUCAGCCAAAUACCUUGCAUUCUUCCUGCAACUCGCAACAACUUAUCCCCUACCAGCUGCAGCUGUAUGCUGAUAUAUAUAAAUAUAUCCCAUGAUAAAAAAAAAAAGGCGUAUUCUGUGACAAAAAUCGCUAUUGCUGAUACUCUGGCCUCAGAACCCAUCUAGACCCAUGAGCAUCUCUCUGCAAUGUUGCUAUUUCCUUCAGAAGACUCUUAAAUAGCGGCAAAUCCUCCGACCGUAUCCUAUCCUUAAAAUGCUGUGUUAUGCUCCCCGAGUCGGUCGACCCACCUCUUUGUUGCAGAAAUGUACACAGUUGGCGAAUCAAUACUUCAGGUUGCACAACGACAGACCGGCCAUUGGAAACCCUCGAUCUGCUGUUCCUCUCGACUAUUCUCUCUCUUCUGUUCGAACCUGAACCCAAGUCCAGGUCUUGUUCGAUUGCGUCGCUAAUUGCUCUUUCUUGAGUCCCUCGAAUUCUCGCCAAGAGUUCGGCAGAAGACAUUGCCUUUCCGGUGGAAGCACCAGCAUGAAAAUUAGGAGCCCUGCUUGAUGAGCUUUCGGACGACUUUGAUGAAUUAAGCAGAUUGGAAUUCAAGGAGGAGCCAAAUUUCCGCUGUACGGAGGAUGGUGCCCCCGCCGCACCGGAUCUUCCAGUCCACGUCGGGACGGCAAAGCUCUCGCGGCUUCUGAGCAUCCGCGACUCGCGCAAUGCUUCUGCCGCCCUCCGUGCGACUUGAGACGCCUGCUCUUCUAGCCGCAUCUUGUCGUCGUCAUUCGCGUUCAUUAUUGCGUCGUGGUUCAUCGCGCUCUGAGAAAAGAAUGAGCAAGAAAAAAUAUGACAAUUGUGUAAAGGGGGCAAUUUUUAUAGAAACAUCAUGUGGUAUAUAGUUUGAUUCCACUUUAGUUCAGACCGUAUAACACCUUACGACUCUGAGGUUGCUGUUCUGGUUGGUCUCCGAAACUUCACGGUAAAUAAAUAUUUGAUUGAACAUGCUCAAUUUAUAUGGUAUUAUACGGCAAUCUGUAAUAUGCAACCAGAAGAGCAACCGACUGACGGUUAAGUGUGAUGCUCUGAAUCACAAGAUAUUAAAGUGAAAUCAUGCUAAUACCACAAGUAUUUAAAUUUCUCCCGAAAAAGAAAAAAGAACAAGUGCAUUGGAAAAGGUCUCAACCACAUUAACACUUACAUGAAUCCCUUGUGCAUCAAAAAGGCUCUUCAAUAUAUCUGUUUCUUCAUUUAUCCCAUUACUGUUCUGAUCCACCGGCACUUUCCCUUUAUUACCGGAUGUAGAAGCUCUUCCAACCUCGCUUGUUGUUUCUUUAGCUGCUCGGCGAUCUAAAGGUGAAGAGCUUUCUUUCUGUUUCUUCUCGUGGGAAAGCCCAACGUCGACCUCUUCAGCCAACUGGCUAAAAAUAUUUGAUGUCUCAGUAGAACAGCCCUCGUUAUCCUCCCGGAAGGUGAAGAGAUUGCGCAUGUCUCUGGCUUUAAAGAACCUUCUCUGUUGAGGAUUCUUCAAUAUCUUGUUCGUGAGGAAAUGCUUGUAUAUUUGCCGAUGGUAGACUUUCUCCUCUAUUGUUCCGCGAGUUAUCAGUCGGUAAACUGUUACAUCUCGCGUCUGCCCAAUCCGCCAUGCUCGCUCUCUUGCCUGUUCCACACACAUCUUAAUCAGGUGUGACAUAGAAAUAUAGAUGAAUGCAUUUUACAGACUUCAAAAAUUGAUGACUACAAAUUGAUGAAUGUGGAAACAACAUAGGUGGAAGUCAGGUGUUAAAGCAAUAAAAAACUGAAGAACCUAAAAUUGAGCACUCUGAAAGUGAAAAUCACAUAAAUCCACCAAGAAGGUAAACAUGAUGCAGUUCAACGAAGAAAUCAGUAACUUCUUAGACAAAAAUAACUCAUUGAAAGUAAAAAAAAGGAAAAGAUUCACCUAGAGUUUAGGAGUCGAGAAGGCUUUACGGUUUUGGCAUGCUGAAUAAAAUGGCUAGAAAAGAGUGGAGAUUUUCUUGAACAACAAUAUCAAUGGGCUGAGUACCCAAAUUUUUUUCUUGACUGUACCAGUUGCCAUUUAACUUUUUUGCAAGCAUGGAAACAAAAUUCAUCUAGUCAGCAUCCCUAGUCUGGAUCAUAUACAGCUAGAAAACGAAAAGAACCGCACUUACCAGUUGUUGCAAAUUUGAAAAAUAUAAAGUCAGUUCAAAGAUGCACAUCCCUAGAAUAAUUACCAAAACAACACCUAAUACAACUCACCCACAACUAACUUAUUGUGAGGCAAGUCUUCAAAAAUGUGAACUAGCCAAUCCUAGUUUAUUUAUCAUUCUAAACAAGGUUAAACCACAGCUUGUUGCUUCUACACUCUGUCAAACCAUCGGGAAAAUAUAUAAUGAGGAAUGCCUCCUAGGACUGACUACACCUGAUUAUCCGUUAUAGAUAGCGGCAGACAGCAUAUAAGCAAGAAACUAAGAAACUCCAAAGAAACAUAAAAACAAAGGCUAGAUACACUUUAGUUUACACAGUAGGCAUUAUCAAUAGGCAAAAUAAGACCGAAGCAAGUAUUAUAACCUGCAUGUCAGUUGAAGGGUUCCAGUCGGGAUCAUAAAUAAUAACCCUGUUAGCUCCAGUCAAGUUCGUACCCAAUCCACCAACUUUAGUAGUCAAAAUAAAAAUAAAAACUUCUUCCGAGUUAUUGAACUCAUCAAUAAGCGCCAUGCGCUGCUUUGCUGGUGUAAGCCCAUCCAUUCUCCGAUAACUGUACUCAUUAGCAAUCAAGAAGUUUUCAAUUAUAUCAAGCAUUUGUUGGGUCUGGGCAAAAAGUAGUACGCGAUGCCCUUGCUCCUUCCAAACCCUAAGAACUUGGUCCACAACUUUCAUCUUCCCACUCCUUGCAAUAUUCCCAUAAUCAGGAUGCUGAUUUGAAUGCUCCCUCUCUAAUAAAUCAGGGUGAUUACAAAUUUUUCUGAGUACAUCAAUCCCGUAAAGAGAAUUUCUAUUCCCAUCGAAUAUCUGUUCCACCUCAGAACUAGCGAGAAAAGCCCUGUAAACCGACCGUUGCUCUGAAGUCAGGCUACAGAAAAGCACGUGCUCUGUUUUCUUGGGAAGUUGUGCAUUAACGUCUGCUUUCAUUCGCCUUAAAAGGUAUGGCAUGAUCAAAUCUCUUAACACAACUGCACAUCUAUAAGCUGUGGAGACUUGCAAAGGUGUUGCAUUUGCAUAGCCACCAACUGUAAUAGGAACAGCGAAUUCCGCCUCAAAAAUCGGUAAAACUCCUAAUUUUCCAGGAAAAACAAAAUCAAAGAGAGACCAUAGCUCGCUCAGUUUAUUCUGAAUUGGCGCCCCCGUCAUGAUAAUUCGAUGGACGGUCUGUAACUGUUUGCACACUAGGGUUACCUCUGCAUUAGGGUUUCUUAUCCUGUGACCCUCAUCUAAGAUAGCAUAUCCCCAUUCCAUAUCAAGUAACUUCUCCCCUAACAAGCGAAGUUGCUCGUAAGUGGUAAGGAGCAGCCCUGAAUCUGAAUCCACAACAUGGGCUAUUAAAUCAUCCCAUUUUUUUCUCGAUUUCAAAGAGCGCGGUUGUUCUGUAUCACUGUUGACAAAAGCUUCACUAUCAGAACCACUUUCAUCGGAUUUUGCUACUUUUUGUUUACGUACACCAUUUGCAGAGUCAUGCAGUAUUUCAACAUCAAAGUCUGGAUACCAUUUUUGGGCUUCUCUUUGCCACUGCCGAAGAAGGGUAACAGGGCAAACUACAAUACUAGGUUUGUACAUUUUACUGAAGUGUAGAGCGCCAAGAAAAGAAAGCACCUGUACGGUCUUACCCAGACCCAUUUCGUCUCCAAUAAUCCCACCAGCCCUUUGGCAGUGUAAUUCCCAAAGCCACUGUACUCCCACUUUUUGAUAAUCAAAGAGUUUUGAGUAAAUAACUUCGGGAAUUUUCAGACCUCCCUCAAGGGUCACGCAAGUUGGGCCUUCAUUUUCUGUAUUCUCUGAUAUUUCUCGAGUUUCUUCCUCAUGAUCUGAAGCAACUGUAUCUUCGCCCAAAUCCCCAUCUGGAAAAGAAGAAAACAAAUGUAAUAAGCACCUUCUUUAGUAUGGCAAAAUGCUGACCGGUCACCUACGAGGUUUGUACAGAUGCAGGAAGAAAUUAUUGUCUGGACCAACUCCGACAUGGACUGGACACAAAAUCUCAAUUUUGGAGACCUCAAAAUCUAAAUGUAACCCAUUGAUGUGUUCUACAACGUAGGAGAGUCCUUUAUAUAUCAAAAAGCAUAAUCUCUGAAGAUCUGUUUUUUUCUAACGAGCAAUGGCUCUUUCUACACCAUUGAUUUUUUAGAUUAUUUAAUGCUUAAAUACUAUGUUUCAACAAUUUAUGACUUGUUACAUCUAGGCCUUCUGAAAGCUGUAAAUCACAUCCAACAGUUUAGAUUGAGGGUCCUCGAUAAUUGAACUAUAGGGGAUGGUCGUUGAAUGGUGUGACUAGAUACAUGUAAUAAUAUCUCAAUUGCACCAAAGGAAGCUUACCGCUCCCAUCCGAGACUUUUUCCUUUCUCAAACCAGCUUUCCUCCAUUUCUUGUCGGGCAAGGGCCUCUUUGUCCGUCGAAGCUUUCGUUUUUUCUUCUCUGAUUCCUUCGAACCUGGAGAAACUGGCCGUUUGAGAGGUUCUUUAAGCCUCUGAAAAGGAUGAGUCGGUGCAUCAAGUCUGGGUAGAGCCUCUGGGUCGAGCAAUUUGGUCGUAGGACGAGCUUGUGCAAUUUGUGACAUCAAUUGUGCAACUUUUGCAAUGCUGGCUGAUGCUAGGGUUUCCGAUGGGUCUUCCUCACGAGCAUUUUGCUGAUUUGACGUUCCAGGUUGUUGAACACGACGCUCAAAGCCUUUAAGCUUAUGAAAUGGUGUUAAUAUACCCUUCCUAAUCAUUUCAUCCCUCUUCUGCAAAAUGAUAUUGGAAGAUCAGUACAGAGGCUAUACUUAUUUAUAUUUUGAUAUCAUGCAAAUAAAGAUAUAACUUCAUACUGUUGGAAUUUCUGGGUAAAAGAAAAGAACAAAGUGCCACUAUGGCCUGUCGGCAAAAGCACCAACAAUGCCUAACAGGCCCAAAGAUAAAAGAUAUGCUGAGAUGAAGACAAACUAGUAAAAGACAGAGAAGCUCCUUAGCACAUUACUCACUGUUUCAAUAAACCCAAAAGAGGCAGCAUCCAACGUUGCAUCAAAAUCAGAAUCUUCAUCAUAUGCAACAGUUUUGAACCGCCGUUUCGGAUUCUUAUCAGAGCUCUCCGGUACUUUUGAUUUCUUCUUUUGCUUUGGUUUCUCUUCAACCAAUUUUGCAAGUAAUUCGUCGUGCCCAAUGCCACAGGCCAAAACAUCCUCACCAAUUUCUCUUUGAAUCUGAGCCUUUGUUCUCUUAAGGCUUUUUAAACGAUCAGCUGCAAGUGCCUCCUGAAGAGUUAAUCCACCGUUGGUAACUUGAGCAGAAUUAUCAAUAUUUUUCCUCUUUGAGUCAACCCCUGUAUCAGCACAAUCAUUAUCCUCAUUUCCUUUGUCCACAACAAAUUUAGCUUUUUCAACAGUAGAAGCUACAGCAUCAAUUUCAAGCUCCACAGCCCUUAAUUUGUUAUACAGUUUGAUUUGGGCUGUAGAUGAUUCAUCCACUUCUUUUCUUGCAUCUUGUUCUUGUUCCUUUGAGCUCCCUCCAGAAUCACUCGCAUAUUUAGUGUCACUUUUUGCCUGCAUGACACCAAAGAUUUUUUGUUCAAGAAAUGUUGUACGUAAAUUGCCAAAACUUCAGCAAUAUUUAAAUACUGAUGACAAAUUGCUAAAAUCAGAAGGUAACAACAUAAGUCAAUUCUCACGGCUUAAAUCUUUUGAGUAGAUUACAUUUAAUUGAUAUUGAGGGGAAGAAAGAGAUCUACAUUUCUCCCGGAGACUUGCACUGAAAAUUGUCAAGUAAACAUAUAGUACAGAGUCUUUUCAUGUCAAUCUUGUACAUUCAGAAUGGAGUUGUUAUUGAUAACAGAUGUAAUCAAACCCAUAUCUCCCCCUCUGUUGCAUUAAAAGAAAAAACUUAAGUACAACACAGAGUAUUCCUGACAAAAACUACUAUCAUAAGAAUACAAGGCCAUUGGCCAAAAUAGAGAAAGAAAGAACAAAAAAAAAUUCAUCUGUAAACAAGGAUAAGAAUGCUACCUCUGACAAUAUUUUUCGUUCAAUGUCUUCUGGAUUCGCAGAUGUUAUUCCGAGACUACUUAAAAAAAGGCGGUCUUCAUCGUCUUCCUCCAUCGUGCCCACGUUAGAAAUAAAUUAUCUCACGUUAGCCCGAGCAGCAACCAGAAGAGGCCGUCAUUUACACUGAUGAAGAAAUACACAUAAACCCAAUAAGCAGUAAAAAAGCAUCAUUUAAAAUACAAGUUAAGAGUGUCUUAGCACGAUGAGCAAGUGUUACACACAAACAAAAUUUGGUUCCCAGGAAAGUUCUUUCGGAAGAAUUCAGUUCCUAAUUCUUCUUCAUCAUCAUUGGCGACUAUUCUAGUCUGUAUCCAACUUUACUUAAACUUGUCCUUCGUCCGCUGUAAUACUAACCUUACAGUUGAUGAAAAUUAAAUCUCACCAUUAAUUCUACUAUACUUUGAUACACAAACAUCAUAAUUUCAUCUUUGAUUCCUUUCCUCUGUAAAUUACACUCUGCUUAUUCUAGAAAAAAUUUGGAUGCUACUGAUUCUUACUACUACCAAAACGACUGCAUCUAUCAACUCAAACAUGCAAUCACAUUGCAUUGCCACCAAAUCACAAUUAGGUAAAAUCGCAUAAUCGAUUUCACACAAUACCAACAAAAAACCAAAUUAAAAGCUAUAAUCACCGCCAUUAUGCAAUCCUUUACAAAAUUAGCGCAAUAACCAGACGAUUGCGGGAGAAACUACAAGCGGAUUGAAGAGCUCAUCGUUUUAGAUACGGGUUUCGAUCACCAAGAAAAGGGAUAAUGGAGAAUUAGGGUGGAAAGAAAUUGGAAAGGGAUUGGUGAGAGAUCGAACCAGAGGAAGAGGGGAGUGAAUCGUGCGGGAAACCCUCGCGCCACGAAGAAGGGGCAUCGUCCCCUCCCGCCUCUGUCCCUCUCUCUCUCUCUCCCCCCGGUCGACUCAGAGUCGGUCUAUAUUAAAAGGGAGGAUGGGUUUGGUGAACCGGUCAAGGACCGGGUCUCAUUUUUAUUGAACCGGGUGCACCAAAUCAGUCGUAAACCACCCAGUAAUCUACUCUCAUUCCACCCUGCGCCCCUCUUAAAAAUAAUUUUAAAUUUAAAAGCAGUUGACGUGACGUGGUGCAUCACGUCCAUAGAAACUUCACCUAAAUCAAACCAGUAGAGCUUCCGAUCGUGAUGUGCGGCUUAUAACGCGACACGUCAUCAUCCAUGUUUCGAGAGAUGCGAAUCGCACCCUCGCAUCGUUAGGGUAGUUAAGGUGCGUCCUCAGCACGAGCAAAGUUUAGGUGGACUUUAAAUACCAUCACAUGAUUCCGUGUUCUUUUAUUUUAGUGUCUUGUGAUCUAAAAUAUAUAUAUAUUUUUUAUUUUAGGGUCUUGUGAUUUAAAAUAUAUUAAUUUAGUUUUCUAUAAUUUUUUUUUUCAUCAUCUCUCUGUUAAUUUUUUGUUAAAUUAUAUACAAAAAUUUUAAUAUCCUAUCUAUAAUUUAUCGAAUAUUUACUUUAAUAUUUUUUAAUUUUAUCUUUGGCAAUGAUUUCAGAAAAAAAAUUAGUGGAGCGAAUAAUAAAAAAAAUAAAAUAAAAUCAAAGAGUACAAAAAUAAUAUACUUUAAAUUAUAAGAUACUAAAAUAAAAAAGUGCGAAACCCGUACGGGUGAUAUUUGAAAUUUUUCCUUAAAUUUUAAUGGCUCCAAAUACCAAACACCAAUUACACCAUCUGUUGUUUGCACUCAAAAUUAUUUAUAUUUAGGCUUCUAUUUAAAAAAGAAAAAGACAUUUUUGCAACAAUUAUGCCAUUCUAAAUUAAUUUUAUUACAUCUUGCCCAGAUAGUAAAGAAUUUAAUCAACCAUAAGAUGAUAACUUCAUAAUACAAUGAUAUUUUUCAAAAAAAGAUAAUCUUAAAAUUCCUAAUGUUAAAGAAACAUGUUUGAUGAGUAGAGCAUCAUACAAAAGAUUCUCAUUUUUGCAAAAACUAAGGAGCUAAUGACCUUCUAAAUUGAGCAUAUUUGAUUCCUAUUUAAAGAAGUACAACAUUACAGAAAAUCCCCUGGAUAUUUCGAAAAUUGUAUUUGCCCCCAGACAAACAAAUCAAGACCUACAUAUAACCCCUCCGAUAAAUUGAAAAUCGCAAAAGUUGCCAUCCAAUAGAGAGAGAUAAAGUACAAAUAUAUCCGAUCAGCAUCUACAUUUCUCCCUAAGUAGCAGGGAAUAGAAACAUAUACCAACUAAACAAAAUUCUAACAGUGAUGUAGCUCAACAAACAGAAUUGUAUCAACUUCAUGAGAAACAAGCUCAAUUUUAGAGAUUAAAGUUCCUCUCUGCUCUCGGAUAACUAUGCUGAAGCAAAUUAAAACCUCUGACUAUGAGUUCUAGAAGAUCAGUCCAACGAAAACUAAUCGAAGGGAGAGAAGUAAUUAGAAGAAAAAAAAAGCCCGGGCGAUUUUGAAUCAACGUCUCUUCUUGCUUCCUUUUGCAGCACUCGAUUUGGACGGGCUCACGAGCACGUAGAUGAAGAGUGCGACCAACGAGAGAACAGAGACCAAUGAUCCGUACUUUGCUAGUAGCCUCUGCAAGGUGAUUCACACUAUUUUUGUUAGCUUGAUCGGAUCAGAUUACAUGACUUCAACAUGUGAAAUCGGUAUGUUAGUUAAAGACUUUACCUUAGCCUGUAGAAGUUUUGGACGCGAAGCACGAGUAAUCCAGAAGGUGAAUGUUUCAGAAAUUAGAACCACAAACAUUAGAAUCCACAUGAGAAACAUAAAUUUUUAGUACUAAAAUGUAAUAAUAAAUAAACAAAAAAGGUAGUGUCAAAGUGUCUCACCCAUUCAAACUUCUUCUCAGGGGGCCUCUCUGCAAGAAUAUCCAAAGGAAGAAUAGGACUAGAGUAGGCCUCCUACAUCAGAAAAAUAAGUAAUGUUAAACAGAACGUAGCUUUCAGAAUAACUUAGCUUCCAUGAUAAAGGUAAAAUAAAAAGUAGAAAAUUAGAAAGGAAUGUCCCAGUCCGUGGGAAAAGAGCCUCAGGAAACUAGUUUCACGCUUUACAUCAAACAUGUAGUCUUGAUCUAUUCAUUACAGGCCAAAAUUACUAAUAUAUGACUUUUAGUGCUAAACUAAGAUUUGGCAACAGACGCAUGGGUAGUGCCUAAAUUUAGACAAAUUGUGAUUUCAUCCUGGAAACUUUUUUUGACUUAACCAAAUGCUCAACGCUAACAAAUUUUUGCAGCAUCCUCACUAGGUUUCUCAAAUUCUCGCCUUUUUUAGGAUGUGCUCUCCACAUGGUCAAAUCUAAUUAAAGUGAUGCUUCACCAAUCAUUUAAAAGGCAAUAGAGUCUAAACUUAAGACAGUAUAAAAUAGGUAAUUAACAUAAUGAUGAGCGAGAGAAAUGCACAAUCCCUAAAAGACACCAGGAUUAUGAACAAUAGAUGAGUUUAGGGAAGAAAUUGCAAAAAUUAGGUAAGAUUAGGGUCUACUCUGUUAGUGAGAAAUUCUUAAUAUGCUAAUUAGGGUCUACUCUGUCAGUGAGAAAUUCCUAAUAUGCUAAAUUCCAGCAAGUAUCCCUAAAUUUAAGCCCCAACUCUACACUGUCACAUUGGAUAUCUGUUUUCUAUUUACAAACAAAGAGAGAGUGAAAAGGUAAACCUGUAGUGCAGCUUUUGUCGGAAUACGGAACUUGAUGACAGCAGGGGCACCAUGGAAGACACCCUUCACCUUGGACUCUAACACAAAGGAGUGAGAAGCAGUUGCACCACUAGGGGUAACAAAAAGUAAAUUUGUCAACAGAUUAUAUGACAGGAAACCAAUUGAAUAAAAGCACGAGAUGAUAAGACAUGCAACGGACUCACGCAUCAAGCUUUUCCCAAGUUUUUGAGGUAGUACCAGUGACAAGAUCAAAUACAUCGUUAGACCAACUAUCAUCAUUCAGGCUCACAUCAUAAGCAGUCCUGGAAUUGUUGCAAAUUUCGUAAAUAAGCAAUUACAAAGAAACCACUACGAUUUAUUUUUAAAGGGAAAACUCAAUGAAAAUGUCCCUAAUAAAUAGUUUACUUGACAAAAAGCAGAUAACGCCUAUCAAUCAGUGCCAAGCAAAGUCAGCUACAGUAAUAAUAUUGCCCUAUCUUAUGAGAAGUAUAUGAGGUACAAAUGCAUUACAACAUAUUAUUUGUAAAUAAAUAUCAAUUUACACAAAAGAGUAUAAAACCUAAAGCAAUAGAAUCACUAACCUGUAAAAGUUUGAAAAUUAUUGUAACUUAUCAAUCAUGAAUCCAUGAUGCAAGUGUCGUCCAAAUGCAUAAAUGAGUAUUCAACAAGUUUUUGGAACUGAACACUUAAAAAUUAAGCCCAACCCGAAUCAUAUAGCCUUUGCAGAUCCUUUAAAUAUCCCUUGAGUAUCCAUGUUUCUUAUCUAAAUUUCAAAAUGUCAGAUACUCCUAUGAAGCAUUCAACAUGCAUAGGGCGUAAUGAUAUCUCAUACUAAUCUGAUACAAACACAACAAAUAAAAUCAAGUAUCAGUGCAUCAUAGCCAGAAAUUAUAUUCUAUAGGUAUUGCACCCGUUAUCUUAAGAAACGAUUCACAAAUUGAAAUCCUUUCAGCUUGCGAUUAACAAAAGAUCCAUAGAACAAAUCAAAUCAAAUCAAAUGACAUAAAGACUAUAUGAGCAUCAUAAGCAAACUCCAAAAUAUACACCCCAAAAAAAGGGCAUCUAAAAACUCGUGCUUUUACAAUUUAUACAAAGGCAAAAUGGAACAAAUCGAAUUCAAAAAAAAAAACGAGGUGUUCCCCAACACAGAGUAAAUCACAAUUCUCACAUAUAGCACAUGUACAGAGGCCGAUCAGAUUCAGAAAUGGAACAGAUCAUAACCGGAUGUAUCGAUCGAUCGAAUCGAGAAAGCAAACAAAAUACUAGGGCUGCGAUUAGGUUAAGAAGCGUACGCAGAUCCCUGGUUGUAGAGAUCGAUCGAGACGGAGACGCGCUCGGCCCCGGACUUGAGGCGGGUGAGGCUGACCUUCUUGUGCGCCACCACGAAGGGCGCGUCGGAGCUCGCGAUCGCGGGGGAGCCGAAGAUAAGGUUGAGGACGACGAGGAGGAGGAGGGGGAGGGAGAUGAGGGAUCGGGAUCGGGAUCCGCGGAUCGCCAUGGAUUAGGGUUUCAGAGGAGCUCUCUCUCUCUCUCUCUCUCUGGAUCGCGUCGACCCCGUGAGCGAAGGGUACAAGAAAAGAAGUGGACCAUGUGUUUCGAGAAGAAACUUCGCGUGGACGCGGUCCACCACGUCUAUGCGGCAUACGAUUGGAUGGUCUAUAAAUGAUGUGGUAAACUCGGCGCAGGGAAAAACCAUGACGAACGUGGUUUUGGGCUGCUAAUGGGCUUGCUCUUGGAGAAAAGGUAUUUAAAAGCCCAUAUAAGUGGGCCUGGACACAAUAUCUUUGGGCUUUAACAUCUAUUUGGGCCUAAUAAUAUUGUGGUAUUUAUUUAAGCCCACAUGAAAAUGUAUAGAACGUAUUUGAAUUAUAUACCAUUUUGACUGCUAUAAACCAUUCAAUUUUUCAAAAUUUUAAUUUUUGUACAUAUCUUUCGGUUUGUUUGAUCUAAAUUAUUUAAUAAUUCUUCCGGUGUAAAAUUUUACGCAAAUUAUAUUUUUUUUAAGAUAAAUAUAUUAUGUGUUAAUUCUUGAACCUUCUAAAAUUUUAAAAAUUACAUAUAGGUCUCAAAUUAAUUAGGCCCAUUGAAAUUAAAAUAUUACAAAUUUUAGUCUUUAGAAGGGCCAAAUUAAAAUUUUAACUUACAAAAUUUGUGGCCUACGAAAAAAUUUCCUUACAAAACUUUAUAAUGAUCUUUUUUAAGAUAAAUUUGUCAUGUAUCCUUGAACCUAUUAACAUUUUAAAAAUUAUCCCAUGAAGAUUAAAACAUUGAAAAUUUUAGCUUUUAGAGUGGCCAAAUUAAGUUUUUUUUUCCUAACAAAAUUUGUGGCCUACGAAAAAUUUUUUCUUUCCAAAUUUUUUCUUACAAAACUUUAUAAUAAUUUUUUAAAAAUAAACAUAUUAUGUAUUUUUGGCCCACCUCAAAUCCACGUUCUGGUUUACGUCCCUGUGUGUGUACGUGUGUUUCACAUAAAGGACAAAUAUUGACAUAGGAAAUCUCCAUGUGAUAGGACGAUAUACGGAGACCAUUAUUCCUUUGAAUCUAUUGAAUAUAAAACCCCAACGAUCACGUUUUUAUAUCCACACUCUAUUUUCUUUUUUUAACUUAAAAAUAUAUAUAUAUAUAUAUAUAUAAGCUGGGGCUACUAUACUCUUAUGAGUAUAGACCCACUUAUACUUAUAAAUUUUUAAUCAUUGAUUGAUGGGAUGUGUGGUUAGGAUGAUGAUGGUCUCCACUUAGAAUGAUAGUGGUCUUCUAGAGUUGAGUGGGUAGUUGGUUAAAUAGUAUGAUCUAACGGGAGAAAAUGAUCAAUAGAAUAAAUCUAAGGGCCGAAAACUUAUGAGUAUAAGGGAGCCAAUACUUAUAAAAGUAUAUAUAUAUAUAUAGAGGAAGGCUACUACGCUUCUGGAAGCACGGAGUCUUCCGUGCUUCCAGGUCGUUUUCGAUGUUGCAACUUUCGAAUCGUCGAUCGACUCCGUUAAAUUGAUCUAGAGUAUUUGAAGUACUUGGAAAAUAAAUUUUAUAAUUUUUUGAUAUCAUUUGCCUAGUGAUCGAAGGGACUCAAAAUUAAUAAUUUUAAUGGCCGUGGUGAGCCGUUUGCAAGUUUAACGGUGUAGAAAAAUCCAAAUCACGUGAAAUUUUGAUAGAAAAUUUUUUAUACUAUAUAAAGUUGCAAAAUUUAUUUUUUAGAUACUUCAAAUACUCUAGAUCAAGUUUAACGGAGUCGAUCGACGAUUCGAAAGUCGCAACAUGGGAAACGACCUGGAAGCACAGAAGGCUCCGUGCUUCCAGAAGCAUAGUAGCCUCACUCUAUAUAUAUAUAUAAAGAAACAUGAUGAUUUAAUUAUAGUAUUUAAACAUAGUGAUUGAAUCACCGAGUUUUAACUUAAAAAUACCACUUAGACACUCACAUGGUAAGAAAAAAGCUAUAUAUACAAAUAUAAAUUUGUUAUGGCACUUUAUAAAAAUAAAAAAUAAAACAUGGAGGGUCUAAAUGCAAGAAAAGCCUAUUAAAUUUUAAAUGCUAUGAUAAAAUUCUAAAUAUCAUGAUUAAAUACUACAUUAUAAACCUUAAACCCUGUAAAUGUAGGGUGUCAACACAUUAAUCAUAUUUUUGGAUGCAUGUAAGGGCCGUUUGGUUACAUGUAGUUACAACUGCACUGCAGUUAUAACUGCAUGUAAAUACAAAUUCAAUGUUUGGUUUGACGUAUUUAACUUCAAGUGUUGUAAUAGAAACUGCAAAAGGAGGUCCAACUAUAGCAGUUGAAACUACGCCUAAAUUGGCCGCAGUUUUCACUGCAGCAGUUGAAGAAAAUAACUUUAAACAAAAAAUAUGCUUAUCUCCUUAAUUACUUUUUAAAUAAAAAAUAUUUUUCUUUCUUGCAUUAGAGAUAAUCUCAUCAUUAUACAUAUAAAAUGAUAAACUUUUAAAAAUUAUUUCUCAACUGCAUGCAACUAAACAAAUUAUUUAUAAUCGCAACGCUUUCUACUACAUCCAACUAAAUAGAAUGCAUGUAAUUACAACUGCUAUAUUUUCAACUAUACUAUAUUUGUAAUUACAUCUAACCAAACGUGCCUAAGUGAGGAACCUUAAUUAAAGCAUUUCUCUAUAUACUUCCCCCUGCCCUAAAAAGGCCAACACACUUGAUUGAGUAGCAGAUCUGGCAGUUGAAUAUUAAUCAUCUUCCUCUGGACAUUAUGAAAAAAGGGCAUAGAUGAGCUGUUUCAUGUGAGUCUAUCACCCAUAUUUUUUCUUUCCUGUUAUUAGCAUUUUAGGCAUAUUUGAUCCAGCUUCUAUUUGGCUUUCAAUAACAGCAAUCUUUAGUACUGGAUGAUUGAGUGUUUAGUAGAUUGAGUGUUUGACCAAAUAAAUAAAUAAACAAAAGCUUCUAAUGUAGUUGAAGCAAAUAUAUAUAUAUAUAGAGAGAGAGAGAUGUACAUUAAAGCAAAUAUAUAUAUAUAGAGAGAGAUGAGCUAGAAUACUAUCGAUAGCAAAUGGGCUCCAUUGCCACCCAUUUGCUUUCGAUGAUGGAGCCUUCAAAUUGACAAUCAGUACCGUUGAAUAUGAUCUAUACCACUUGAAAUGUUUAGAAAUCAAAUUUCAUACAUUUCGAUAUUGUUCUCUUAUCCAUCUAGUAGACACAAAAAUAAACGGCUGAAAAUGAAUAUUCUUUAAAAAAUGAUGAUAGGAGUCUUGUAAUCAAGAUCAAAAGUAUAGAUCUUGUUUUAAAUAGUUUAAAGAAUUUUUAACAAAAAUUCAAUUGAUUUGGAUAUUUUUACGCCAUUAAACGAGAAAACGCCUUAUAUUGACCAUUAAAAUUAUAAAUUUUAGAACCCUUUGAUUAUUAGGCAAAUGAUGUUGAAAAGAUUUGAAAUUUAAUUUCUAAGCACUUCAAGUGGUAUAGAUCUUGCUCAAUGAUACCAUUCGUCGAUUUGGAGGCUCUAUCAUCGAAAACAAAUAGGUGACAAUGGGGCCCAUUUGCUAUCGACAAUAUUCUAGCUCAAAUAUAUUACUAAAAGUAUUUGGAAACUAAAUUUCAUAAUUUUUCGACAUCAUUUGGCUAGUGAUCAAAAGGUCUCAAAAUUGACAAUUUUAAUGAUCGCUAUGAUGCGUUUGUGAAUUUAACAGUGUAAACUAAUCUAAAUCUGAUGAAAUUUUUAUAGAAAAUUUUUUUUACUAAGAGUAAGAUCAGUACCUCUAAUCUUAAAUUCAAGUCUUGUAUCAUCAUUUUUUAUGAUAUUUUUAUUUUUAGCCGUUCAUUUUUAGACUACUCGUUUGAUAGGUAAAUGACGUUGAAACAUUAUAAAAUUUAGUUUCCAAAUACUUUCAAUAGUGUAGAUCAACUCUAACAAAGUCGAUCGUCGAUUUGGAAGCUACAUCAUUGAAAAUAACUUAGUAGCACGGAGGUUUCCGUGCUACCAAUAGUAUACCAGCCUAUAUAUAUAUAUAUAGAAUUCGGCUGGAAUACUAUUAAUAGUAAAACGCUCUUUUUGCUAUCAAGUUUUUAACCCUUGGAUGAAAAAUUGUAGGGUCAGGAUGAUGUUAGUCGGUUAGAGUUGAGUGGUCCCACUAGGGUUGAGUGGUCCCCACUGGGUUAUAGUAUUUAAUCCAAUAGUUAGAAAUAAUGAAAAGAGUUGAUCCAAAGGCUAAAAAACUGGUAGCAACAAUGAGAUUUUGCUACUAAUAGUAGCCCAGUUCAACUAUAUAUAUAUAUAUAUAUAUAUUAUAUAUAGAGAGAGAGAGAGAGAGAGAGAGAGAGAGAGAGACGAGAGAGAGAGAUGAGCUAGGCUGGUAUACAUAUCUCGGUAGCACGGAGGCCUCCGUGCUACCAAGUUGUUUUCAAUGAUGCGGCUUCAAAUCGACGAUCAGUUCAUUAGACUUGAUCUACACUAUUAAAAGUAUUUGAAAUUAAAUUUCAUAAUUUUUCGACAUCAUUUGGCUAGUGAUCAAAAGGUCUCAAAAUUGACAAUUUUAAUAGUAGAUGUGAUGCGUUUGUAAAUUUAACGGUGUAAAUCAAUCCAAAUCUGAUGAAAUUUUUAUAGAAAAUUCUUUUCACUAUUUAGAGUAAGAUCAGUACCUCUGAUCUUAAAUUCAAGUCUUUAUCAUCAUUUUUUAUGAGAUUUUUAUUUUCAGCCGUUCAUUUUUACACUACUCGUUUGAUAGGUAAAUAAUACGAAAAAUUAUGAAAUUUAGUUUUCAAAUACUUUUAAUAGUGUAGAUUAAGUUUAACGGAGUCGAUCGUCGAUUUGGAAGUCGCAUCAUUGAAAACAACUUGGUAGCACGGAGGCCUCCGUGCUACUGAUAGUAUACCAGCUUAGCUCUAAUAUAUAUAUAUAUAUAUAUAUAUAUAUAUAUAUAUAUAUAUAUUAUAUAUGAGAGAGAGAGAGAGAGAGAGAGAGUUGGACUAGGCUACUAUUAGUAGCAAAAUUCUAUUGUUGCUACCAGUUUUUUAGUCUUUGGAUCAACUCUUUUCAUUAUUUCUAACCAUUGGAUUAAAUACUAUAACCCAGUGGGGACCACUCAACCCUAGAGGGACCACUCAACUCUAACCGACUAAUAUCAUUAUGACCUACAAUUUUUCAUCUAAGGGUUAAAAACUUGAUAACAAAAAGAGCGUUAUAUAUAUAUAUAUAUAUAUAUAUAUAUAUGUAUGCCUCAUUGUUGUUUUUUGUUUUCUUAAUUAAUUGAAUUUCUAAAUGAAAUAAUAUAGCAGGAAAUGAUGAAUUACAUUCUACGUAUUUAUUUGGCAAUAGAAAAUAAAUAUUUGAAAGCAGUAUUUUUUGCUUCCGAGUUUUCUUUCCUUUUUAUUUUAUCUAUCACUUUAGAUGACUCGCAAACUAAUCAAUCAUCACAAUAAAGAUAAAUCCUAUCACUGGUAUAUUAAGUUUUAUUAGUGUUGAAUAAAUAAAAAAGAUAAUAAUACCAAACGAGGCUAUAGUUCUGUGCUUAAAAGCGAAAGUUUUAAUUUGAUUAUUCUAAUUUUACUACAGAAUAAUUAAAAUGUUAAAAAUUUCAAACUAAGGCCUCGUUUGCUAUAACUGCCAUUUUUUAAACACUAAUUCUAUAUAUUUUAAUGUGUUAGAAGAUAGGCUCUUUUUUAUUGUAAUAGUUGGUUAGCUUAUAAUAAUACAUCCGGCUAAAUGAUAGAUGAUAAUUUAUUUUUUUAAAAAAUUGGAAGCAGAACUAAAAAUUUAUUUUCUAAUUUUUAUUUUUUUGCUGUCAUAUAAUAAAUGCUUCUAAUCCGCUGUCUAUUCCUACAUCUUUUGAUGUACAAAAUUUUAUUUUAAAAAAUGGAAAGCAAAUAUGAUACUCCUAAUUCCUAAAAAAAAAAACAUAAAUAUAAAAAAUAAUAUUUUAACAUAAUAUUUUUCCUAAUAAUAGAAUCAACCAGGGAAAAGACAACUCUCAAUGCUCAUAUGAUCAUAUGCUCAAUAUUGAGGUACAAAAAAAAUAAUGUUGCUACUGACUUUUUGCAAAGAACAUAAUAAUUAGGCUGAUGUAUCUGUCACAGAAAUUCUACUAUGUAUGAUUAUAUAUCUGGCCACAUCUAAUUGGUUGUGAUAAUUAUUGAAUAAUUGAUGAGUGGUGCAUUAUGGGGUGUUUGGUUUUUCAAAAAAAAUAAAAAAUAAAAAAAUUUUAGAAAAUAAUUUUCUGACUGCAAAAAUUUUAUCUGUUUGGUUUCCAAAAAAUAUAGUUUUCUAAAAAAUUAUUUUUCUACUUGUAUUGAAAAGUCUAUUUUUAUUCAAAAAUAAAAUUUAUAGAAAAUAUUUUUUUACACUUUUAUGAAAAACUAAACACCCUCUUUUUAGUGAAAAGGAAAGGGUACUCUUUGAUUUAUAGCUCAAGAACCCUGUUGGGAGAGAACAAAGCUAGAAGAUACUACAAGUUGCCUUUUAAGAUGUUGAAAAAAUGUAUAAACACCGACUGUCCCUAGAGCAAGUGGCAAAGAACUUGGUGGUUGGUAUUCGAGGUCUCAAGUUCGAAUCCUAGUUGAUUCACAUUUCCAGCUAAGUUUAUUUCUAAAUGAAAUAGACGAAGCGGGUAGUUUGCUACCUAUCUCUCAACAAAAAAAAAUGAAAAGAAAAGAAAAAAUGCAUAAACUAAAAGAUAGUGUGAAAGAAUAAUAUUUUUAAUAUUUGAUAUUCAACAGGUACACUAAUAAACUGUUUAAUUUGUAAAGGUUUCAUUUUUAUCAUCCAUUCCGUUUUUUAUAUGUUCUGUUACUAUCCUAUAACUAAUUUAAAAUCAUGAUUAUAUUAGUUAGAGAUUUAUUAAAUAUUAAAAUGUAAUAAUACAAAUUAACUUCUUUUUUUUUUUUGCUUAAACUUAUUACAUAUAAGCACUAAAAAUAAUAAAGACAUAUCAAAACCAAAAAGCCAUUAUUUUCCUCUAUUCCUGCAAAGAUAAAUAUAUUUAUUUUUUAAUUAUUGUGUAUCAAAAUGUGUAGCUGGAGACUUAUCACCAUCUAAUUAUACACACUAAACUAGUUGGUAAAACAUCUAUCAAAAGUGUAUCUUUCUACGACGAGAAAUACAUGGGAUAUCCCACUUUUGGAUAUUGUUGAUGUAUUAAAUAGGGAUAAUUGCAUAUAUACUCCUCAUACGUUUGAAAAUAUUCGAUUUACCUAUACUUUUUUUUUCUUUCUAAAAUAUCCCUCAUAUAUUCCACCGUUAUUGCAAAAAUCAAAAUACCCCGCAGUUAUCUCCUAUUAAGUUAAUUUGAGUUAAACGUGAGUUAAACAUCUACCACAGUUAAAAAAAAAUUAAAAUACCAAUUUUGCCCUUAAUUUAAGGACAAAUAAGAAAUGUUGGUGACGGUAGAGAGGUAUGUUGGAAAAGAUCAAAAGUCAAAAUAUUUUUUUGUGCCCCUAACUUUAAGAGCAAAUAAGAAAGUCAGUGAUGGUGGAAGGGUAUAUUUGAAAAGACAAAAUAGUAAUUUUACAGAGAUAACAGAAUUAAUUAAAAGAUUUUAACUUUAGGGUGCGUUUGGUUCACAUUAUGAAAGAUUACUAGGAAUAAAAAAUAUCCGAGAAUCUUAUUCCUAUUCAUCCUAUUACUAAGAAUAUAGAAUUCCUGUGUUUGGUUCGCACGGUAAUAUUAAUUAGCCAUGUAAUUUAAUAUUGCAAAAAAUAUACAAUUCAUUAAUUUAUUUAUUUAAUUAAUUUUAGAUAAUGUUACCAAAAGUUUCAACAUCUUUUUAGAAAAAAGGGAGAGAGAAUAUAAGUUAGAGAGAAUGAGCAUAAUUAAAAAAAUAGAAAGAAAAAUAUAGUCGAAAUUAGAGGGAGUGAGAGAGUUGAAAUUUUAGAAAGAGAGAGAGAGAGAAAGCUUAGUUUAGAGAGAGAAAAAAAAGUUGAAUUUUAGAGAGAAAAAUAAAUUUAGAGAGAGAUAUAAGGUUAGAGUGUAAAGAAAAAUAAUAUCAAUUAGCCGGCGGAUAGGAAGAAAAAAAAAGAUUAGAUAUAUUAUGAUUAUUUCAAUCCAUUAAUAUGAGGAUACCUACCCUCCCUCAAGAGAAUGAGAUUAGUACUUUGGGAUGAAUCAUAUUCCCAAGUGAAUCCAAUAUUACCAACUAGAUUACUUAGUGCAUUUAGCCAAACACUGUCAUAUUUUUUUAUUCCCAUUGGAUUACUAGGAAUCUUUAAAAAAUAGCGUGAACCAAACGCGCCCUUAGGGUCAUAUUAGAAAUAGGUUGAAACGUAAAAAGGGUAUUUUCAAUAUUAGCCUUCUAAGAGAGGUAGAUCAGAAAGUCGGAAAUUUUUUAGGGGUAUAUAAGCAAUUGCCCCUAUUAAAUGUCCACAUGGAGGGGCUAGGGUUUAAUGCUUAGUUUGGUAUUGAGGCCUAUCUACUGCUAUUAGAUAAAAUGGAGUUGGAUUAAAAGCAUGUAGGAAUAUGUUGGAGCCACAAAAAUAUAUCGUAACCGACUAAUCGAACGUAAUAUUACGUAUGGAAACAAAUAUGAUAUUUUCUCAUCGUACUUUCUCACCGUACAUAAUGCAAUCUCUCCGCAAUCCCAAACGAAGCCUAAAAUUUAGGGUGUAAUAAUGGUGUGUAGAGUUUAAUAAUAGUAUUUACAGUUUAGCAAUUAAUAAUUAAAGUGUAAUAAUAAUAUUGUCAUGUCAUCAUCAACAAUAUUCGAGGAUACACUUGGGGGUUUUUGUAGCAGCACUCUUUAGUGACAAUGCGCGACAAGUCAAAUUAAGAAGAUACACAUCACCAAUUAUGUAGGGGACCUCUUGAGCCAAUUUGGCCAAAUUUAAUUGUACCAUCAUAUAAGUACCUUGGCUAAAUAGGACCAUUGUUCAUUGAUAGAUAAAUAAAUGUGAAAUGGACAGGGUCAGUUAAGUGGUUGCUUUCAAUUGUUCAUAUUAGUUUAUCCAAUAAUGCGAAACAAAUUAAACAACACUUGGUUUCACUUUUAGUCACUAGUUUUAUCUCUAGGUGGAGCAAUUAGUCAAAAUGAGCUUCUGGAUCUGAAAAGUAAUUAACGUUAUAGCUUUUCUAGUUGUUUUGUUAUUCGAAGAAUUAUCUGUUAAGUUAUUACUAUACAAAAUGUUAAUUUUUUUAUGCUAAAUUACAAAAAUUCUUUCUAUCAAAACUCGAUUUUUUUACUUUCCCUCCCAGCUAUUUAAAAACCUACACUUUGCCUCAUUGUAAAUGAAAAAUAUUCACUUCAUCUCCUAACGUUAGUGAUUCGUUAGGAUUCCGUUAUAAAAUAUUUUUUAUGCCAAAAAUAUCCUCCGUCCUCUCUACUGUGCUUCGCCUUCCUUUACUGUCUCGCCCUCGCCCUUGCCCUCGCCCACAUCCCCGUCCGCGUCCACAAACACCCUCUCGCCCUCCUCCGCCGCCUCGCCUCCGCCCUCGUUGCCCUUGCCCACCUUUCCAUCCGCGCCCACCUCGAUUUCCUCUCUACUGUCGCCGAAAUGGAGGGGCGACGAUGGUGCAGGAGGAGAAGGGAAGCAGGUGGAGAAGAAAAUGGAGAGGAAUCGCGGUCAAUCGAGGCGCAAACCGCAGCCGAUCGAGACGGCGGAUGAGCAAGAUGAAGGAGAACACGAAAAUAGUGAGGGACAAAAUAGUUAUUUUGUCAUCACAUUUCACACCGCACCCUCUGUGAAUAUUUUUUAUUUCACAAUGGAGCAAAGUGUAGGUUUUUAAAUGACACGAGGAAAAAAUGAAAAAUCAAAUUUUGAUAGAAAAAUUUUAUGUAAUUUAGCUAUUUUUUUAUUAAGGCUAAAAUUCAGAAUAAUAAGCCUUAAAUAUUUUUGCUGUAAUCGAGCUAAAUACUAGUUUUACGAAAGCUUCAGCCAAAUAAGUUACAAUACUUUUGCGACAAGUUGCUAUCGAAAGCUCUUAGAAUUAUUUACAAACAAGUUAUAACCUUUUCUUUCUUUUCUAAUCUCUGGUACUCCAAAAAUCUUUUUAAUAAGAAGUUAAUGACAAUUUACUCCAGUGAUACAUCGAAAGAAACAAUCUCAUCAAUCAAAACUUUGAUAACAUGUGGGACAUGCGUGAUCAUGCAUUUGCAUUAAUUUUGCAUAUAUUCAUGCAUCGUUAGCUAAUCAAAGAUUAAAAAAGUACACUUAAUUAUGGAAAUUUGUAUGUGAUUUAUCUUUAUUCAUGGCCCCAUGCUCUUGUCACCAUUUGUACACUUGUGUCCAUGAGAAAGGAUUAAAUAAGUACUUUAAAUUAAAUGUUACUUAAUAAAGUGUAUUAUUGCGUGGUCACAGCUUCUACAGGCUAUUUUAAAUAUUAUUAACAAAUACUUCAUUAGAAUGUAGUUCAAUUAUAAAUUUAGAUUAAUUGCAUACAGUCCCUGUAAACAUAUCGAAUAAUAGAUAUAUAUUCCUACAAAGUUCAACUUUUUAUAUUUAUUUCUGUAAAAGUCAUAACAUUUUUAAAUUUACCCAUAUUGUUAGAAAUCGUUAGAAAUAUAUACUUAACCAUAGGUAAAAUAUUUAGCCCUGAUUAGUGAAUAAGGUAAAUUGAUUUUUUUAUUUCUUUUAUGUUAUUUGUAACGGUAGAAAGGAAGAAGAUGAAUAUUGAAAAUUUUUAAAAGAAUAUUUUUGCAUAAUUUUAACAUUUGGGACUUUUGAAUGAACAUAUUUGUAAUAGUAAAAAUAUCAUUCACUUAUCUUCUAUUAAGAAAUAAAUAGAGUCAAAUAUAAAUAUCAUUGGAUUUUUCUAAGGAUAAAUAUGAAAGUUAAACUUUGUAGGAAUAUAUUUGCUAUUUAAUAUGUUUACAGGGAGCUGUAUAAAAUUAAUCCUCUAUAAAUUUUUAUUCCACUUUAGCUCAUGUCUUAUUUAUCCUCCUAUAUAAAAAUGCCUUGAUUAGUCAUCUGUAUUUUGCCGAGGAUUCAAAUAAAUUUGAAAUCUAGGAUUAAGAACAAAUUAAAUCACUAAAACAAAUUGAUAUAUUACAUACACUGUCAAGAUCGGGCCGGAUUCGGAGCGAAUUUUAAAAAAUUUGAACCCGAACCCAACUCCAAAUUCAAAAUCCGAACUCAAAACCGAACCCGAACCCGACAGAUUUUAAAAAUCAAUAUCCAAACAUGAAUCCAACAAAAAAUUCGAACUCAAAAUCGAACCCGAACUCGACAGAUUUUAAAAAUCAAUAUCCGAACGUGAAUCCAACAAAAAAUCCGAAACCUGAAUCGGAAUCCGAACACGAAAACAACUAUUUCUCUUUUCAAUAUUUCAAAAUAUAUUACAAUAAAUCUAAAUUUAUAAAAUACAAAUUGAAAUACAACAUCAACUUUUAUAUACAUAUUAUAUGUAAUAUAAAAUAAAUUCGGGUUUGGAUCGGAUUCAGCCGUUCAGGUUCAGAUCGCGUACAGUCAAAAUCCAUAUCUGAAUUCAUAUCCGUCGAGUUUUUAUUUUUCACGAAAUUAUAUCCAUCUAACAUCGAAUAAAUCCGCUCUAUUCAGACUCAGAUUAUGAUAAAAUUUCGAAUAUCUUAAUCUAUUGACAUCCCUAAUAGCAUCAAGUAGUUUUUGUGUGGAAACUCAGAAUUUUUGCAUUCUGCCAUUAAUAAUUACUUUGAUAAUUUAAAUUUUUGCUUUAAAUUUUGUGAGAUAAUAAAGACAUCAAAAUUAACUAGAUUUCAAUAUUAUUGGUUUAACUUACAGGAAUAUCUGAUAGCAACAAGUAUCUAAGAUUUCAAAAUUUAAAAUUUAAUUAUUUUAUAUUUUUUAAAAUAAAUGAAAUAAAUAUCAUGCUAUGUUUAUUAUUUUGAAAACACAAUCACAUCCGUUCUACAAAAAAAAAAAAUCGUUCACAAUCUUUUUAUAUUUUUAAGGAAGCAAGAAAAAAAAAAAAACUAAAUUACAGAAAAUUUUCUAUCAAAAUCCAUUUUUUUUUUCCUCUGUUAUUUAAAAACCUACACUUUGCCUUCUUAUAAAAUAAAAAAUGUUCACGAGAGGGUACGGUAUGAAUUGUGAUGAUAAAAUGACCAUUUUGUUCCUCACCAUUUUGCGUUCACAAGAGAAAAGACUGAUGACAUUUUUAGCAUAAAAAAUAUAUAAUAAUAUUUUAUAAACGGAUCCCUAACGGAUUAUUAACGGCAGGGGACGAACGGAUUAUUAACUGCAGUGGACAUUUUUCAUUUUACAAGAAAAAAAAGUAUAAAUUUUUAAAUGACACGAAGAGAAAGUGAAAAAUCGAGAUUUGACAAGAUUAUUUUAUAUAAUUUAGCCAAAAAAAAUAUUAGAAAAUUAAGAUCUGUUGACUCAUUUAUUUAUUUAUUAUAUUUGGGAAAAGGA
rnacentral:lncRNA from 1 species